AUAGGCAUUGGAGAGCCAUGAUGUAUUUGGAAAAGAACAUGUAAUUACAUUUUGGAAGAUGAAAAUGUAAUGUAACCAAAUGAUGUAAAAAAGUUGAAUGGUUGUUGUUGAACCAAUACGGCGCAGACAGUUGGCACACCGAGUCCAUAUAUCGCUGGAUCGGGAGCACGGAAAACGCGCCAGGGGAUAUGAGCUGUGAUUAUUUGAAAAAUGAUAACCGUAAGCAGUUAUGGGCAGUUCCCAAUGGCAGUUCCAAUCGGCCGAACGUGGCCUUCCAAUCCGGAGAAGAUGGCCGAUCGUGCAAUAACUGAACACAAGGGGAAAAUAUAUAAAUAGGCCUGUAGUACCCUAAAAAGGGGUCUUNGGAGAGCCAUGAUGUAUUUGGAAAAGAACAUGUAAUUACAUUUUGGAAGAUGAAAAUGUAAUGUAACCAAAUGAUGUAAAAAAGUUGAAUGGUUGUAAUAGCUAGAUAUUUUUCUCUUUAUACACUUGUAUUUUACUUGUGAACGUUGACAUCGAUUCAUUCCAACAUUACACUCUCGGGGCUUAAUAGAACAAUAUAAUUAGGUUUUACUCUUUGUUCGAUUGAAUGAGAAAAAGUACUCGUUGCAAAGUUAUACUGUUAGGACAGAACUGAGUAGUCUAAUGUUGUUCCGGUUUUGGUUCUUGUGAACGUUGACAUCGAUUCGUUCUAAAUUUAUUCUCUUGGGGCAUAAUAGAACAAUAUAAUUAGCUUUUACUCUUUGUUCGAUAGAAUGAGAGAAAGUACUCGUUGCAAAUUUAUACUGUUAGGGCGCAAGUUAGUAGUCUAAUGUUGUUCCGGUUUUGGUUCUUGUGAACGUUGACAUCGAUUCAUUCCAAAUUUACACUCUCGGGGCAUAAUAGAAUAAUAUAAUUAGCUUUUACUCUUUGUUUCAGAUUGGAAAUCAUGUGCUCUUGAAAGUCUCGCCGACUCGAGGGAUUAGAAGAUUUGGAAUCCGGGGCAAGUUGAGCCCCCGAUUCAUUGGAUCAUAUGAGAUUUUGAAACGUGUAGGCCCGGUGGCAUACCGACUUGCUCUACCACCGAACCUAUCGGAUGUACACAACGUCUUUCAUGUAUCAAUCCUUCGGAAGUACAUUCAUGAUUCGGCUCAUGUGCUUAAUGCGAUGCCUUUGGAGCUGAGGGAGGAUUUGAGUUUCGAGGAGCAGCCUGUGAGGAUCUUAGCUUGUGAGGUGAAGAUGCUGCGAAACCGCGAGAUCCCCUACAUGAAGGUUCUUCGGAUCAAAUUUAAAUUUUAAUGUAAAAUAGAUGGAUAGAGCAUAUUGAUAUUCUGGCAAAAAUUUGGAUAAGUAUGAAUUUAUUUCUAUUCUAGAGAUAAAAAAAAAUUAAACAAAUUUUGAAUUAAAAUAUAGAUUCACAAUAGAUAUCUUUCGGUUGGCAAAAUUUGAAUAAGUAUAUAUAUUUUUUUAUUUUAGAGGUAAAGAUGAAUUAAAAGUUUGUUUUAUUAUGUUAUUUAUUUUAUGUAAGGAAAGAGGAAUCAAAUUUUUUCCCCUAAAAAUGGGUCUGCUGACAUAUCGAAAUUUGAAAUACGUGCUAGAUAGUAUAGAUAUUAUAUUACAGUUAGAGAUAAAAAGAAUUAAAUAAAAAUUUAUAGUAGAUAUUUUCAGAUUGGUAAAAAUUUGGAUAAGCAUAAAUUUUUUUCUGUUGUAGAAAUAAAGAGGAAAUAAAAGUUUGUUUAAUUCUAUUAUUUAUUUUACGAAAUACAUGCUUUUAUAUAUAGUAUAGAUAUAGAUAGGGGUGGCAAUCCAGCUCGCUGUUCGUGAGUCAGCUCGUGUUCGGCUCGAAAUGAGCUCGAGAUCGGCUCGCUCGUUUAGUAAAUGAGCCGAACACAAGCUAGAUUUUUCAGCUCGUUUAAUAAACGAGAACACGAGCUGGGGUCAGCUCGCUCGUGUUCGGCUCGAUAACAGCUCGAAUGCAUAUAUUUUAUAUUUAUAUACUUUAUUUAAUUUAUAUUUUAUAUAUAAAUAAAUAAUUUUAUUAAUAUAUAUUUUUUAUUAUUUAUUUGUUAGUAAAUAAACAUAUAAAUGCGAGCUAAUUAUAAAAAACUUAUUUAUAUGUCAAAGUUUCAAAUAUUAGAUCAAAGUCUAAUAGAUAAGAAUUAAUAACAUUUAUUUUUAUAUAUAUUUUCUAAUCUAAUUAUUUUAAUUUAUGGUUGUGUGGCCAGCUCGUGAGCCAACUCGUGUUUGGCUAUUAAUAAAACGAGCGGAACACGAGGCUGAAUUUUCGGCUCUCCCGGUACUUUAACGACCAGCUCUGUUCGGGUCGUUUACAUAAACGAGCGAACCACGAUGGACCCCGGCUCUCGGUUCGUGUUCGCGCAUCGUUUACACCUCUAGAUAUAGAUAGUAUAAAUAUAGAUAAUAAUAAUAAUAAUAAAAUAAUAAAUUAAGAUUCGAGUCGGGUUCAGAUCGAAUAAAAUACAAAAUUCAUAGCCCUAUCCACAUUUAUUAGAUUUUUCAGUUCGGAUUCCCAUCGAUCCUUCGAGACACCCGUACUCCCCUGCAGCUCCUCCCUCCCGAUCUCCUCCUUUCCCUUGUUCUCGAUCACCCAAGCCCUCGUCCUUACGAUCCCCAUGGACGGCGAGGGGGGCAGCGGCGGCGGAACCCUUUCGGAGAUCUACCAGAGCGCACGUCGCCUCCUCCUGCGCGCGAGGGAUGGGCUCGAGAGGCUCGAACGGCUCGAAUCCUCCUCCUUCUCCUCCUCCUCAUCGUCGCCCUCGCUCGGGGUCGGCGCCGAUUCGCCCGAGCUCGCCUUCGCCAUCAAGAGGGAUAUCGCCCAGAUCCGGUCACGCUGCGCCGAGAUGGAUCACCUCUGGCGAUCCGUCGCUGCCAAGGGCCAGCGGGAUCUCUGGAAGAGGUAACUGAUCUGGAAACCCUAGCCAUUUCAAACUUGAUUAGGUUUUGCUGCUAUGCUAUGCUAUGCUAUGCUAUUCAGUGGGUUGAUCUGGAGAUUUAUUUAUUUUUAUUUUUAAUUUAUUUUUUAAAUAAGGCAGAAUUGAAUUGAUGGGAAAUUAGGGGAUCGGGGGAAUGUUAUUAUGAUUUGAAGAAUGGUUUGCUCAUGAUUUGGUUUGAUCUCAAGAUCAGCGUUCUCACGAUUAUUAUCUAAUAAAUGUGCGUUUGCUGGUAACUCACCUCGUUCCUUCUUUCUUCGCCUAUGCUUAUUCCGUGUCGUAUAUCGAUUUUGUGUAGUUGUUGGCUCUUGAUUGUGAGGAAUGAGCCUGCGUCGAGCUGACGAAUUUGCUGGGAUCAAUUUCUCAAAUGUGGGUAAAAGAUGCAACCCGCCGAGAUAUUGCUGCUACAUAUUUUAUCCCUUUUUGUCCUUGUUAAUUUCAGUUGGUUUUCUUUCAUUAAUUCAAUUUGAAAUUUUUAUCCCAAUCAAACUAAAUUGGUGGGUAUCAGUAGUUGAAGAGAUUGUUGUCUCUGAUAUUUUUAUUAGUUAUGUUGCUUAUACAAGAGCCUAAUUUUAGACUCUCUCAUCUAAAAUAAUAGGAAUAAGAGAUUUUCUUCAUAUCUCAAAGUCAUUCUUAAAUAAAAAGAGUGAGAGAAUAUAAGAAGAAGAAUCUGUAUUUUAUAUUUCAAAAUAGGAAGUAGCAAAACUGAUAGAAGAAUCAAUUAGCAUAAAAAAUCUAGCCAACAGAAUAUGGGAUUAGAAAAAGAAUCAGCUUAAAAAUAUCCAGAGAAGAUAGAAAAAAACUUAAGUGAUGAAAAUGCACCAAUAAAAGAGGCAACAGUCAACUCAAAUCAAAGGAAAGCCUAAAUUUAAGUUCUAUAAUGUACUGAAAUAAAUUUUAAACUCGUAUUUUAGAGUUAGGAAAUCUGCAGUAAUUGGAGUAGAUGAAGAAAGUACGCUAAUCUUUAGGAGUAGCAAAAUUUGGAGAACAUCUAAAAUAAAAAGAAUAAAAGGAAUAAGAGAAUAUAAGAAGAAAAAGCAUCAACAUUUUACAUAUGAAAAAGGGAAAUAGUAGAACUAAGUAGUAGAGCUGAUAGAGGAAUUAGUCAGUAUGAAAUAUAGUCAACAAAAUAUGUAAUUAGAAAAAGAACCUUCUACAAUCUAGAGAAGAGACAAAAGACUAAGUGAUGAAGAUACACCAAUAGAAGAAGAAGCAACCAACUUAAAUCAAAGGGAACCCUUCCAAAAUUGGAAAUAACUAAUAUAUUGGUUCUUUUUUCUACAAAGGAUUUUCUUUAAAAAAUAUCUUUUCUUUCUUCAUUUUUGCCCACCUUACUUGUCACGUCCCGAGACCGCCAAUUUGGUCGGAUUGGUCCUGCACACAGACGCCAAACGAACAGAACCUCCUCUGUUCGCCUAAGGCUCAGCAACAACAACUAAACAUGUAUAAUGAAAUGCCCAGAAAAAUUUCCAGUAUAUAUGGCUUACACGAAGGUAAGCAACACAAGCAAAUGAAAGUAAACUAACUAAACCAUUCAUACAUUGUAACUUGAGUACUUUAAAUCAAAUACAAAGCUUACAUGUCACGCCCCGGAGACGGCAAGGCCCUCCCGGUAGCGCGCCCAGACCCGCCAUAUGUCUGCACAUAUAAGGCGUCUACAACAACAGCGGAAGAGAAGCGAGAGAUAAUCAACAACUAGAGAUAUCAAAGCAAGUGUAACAACUAAAUACUAACAACAAGAGAAGGAAGGUAAAGUAAUCCACUAAAAGUAAGCAUAAAGUAGUACAAUAAUCAUCUCCAAAAGGGUACAAUAAGGGGUGGUUUCUAUACAUGGGUGAAACUCUCAACCUUUCUAAAAUGAAAACAACGAGUGGUAGACCACCUAUAGACGCGUCCCUCGAAGCAGCUAACUCGAGGCAAUACCCUUUCCACGGUCCCUAGCCUCUCCCGGCGUGGAAGGCUCUGAAAUAAAACAUAAAAUAGAGAGCGUGAGAACUAUAAUUUAUAGUUCCUAGUGGGCAAUUACUGACCUCAGCUCAAUGCACCAUUAGGCUUCAAAAGAAAAGGGUAAGUACGAUAAGCAACAAUAGUAGUAAUAGAUGAUAAUAAACUGCAGAAUUGAAAGCAUGAGUGAAAUGCUAUGCCACAGGUAAACGUGAUGUAUAUCAAUGCUAUCAUGUUUGAAUAUGCCAAUGUCGGGUAAAUACGCUCAUCAGUUACCAAGUAUACUAAGAUGCGAUAAGUAAUCCUAUCAAGUAUACUACAUGUCCCAAUAUCUCAAAGCCACACUAUGAGUAUGUCCAAUAAUCCAACUGCUAUGAUCUAUUUAGCAGUGAUUCAAAUUUAAGAGGUUAUGUUCAAGUUCAAUCUUGUUUUGGAACUUACACGAGUGUAGUCCGGCUUGCGCCGCCUAAGUGUCGGUGGUAGCUCCAGCAUUUUCACUCUGGAAAUGAGCCUAUCCCUCCCGAUCCCAUAGGCUUCUCGAUACCGCACGAGCGAUCAUAAGUCGCGUAGGUCAACUCCGGAGUGCCGACUUGUAGGGAGCGACCCUCACAAGCAUGUGCGAAUGAGCACAAAUGGCAAACAAGCAAUAUCAUCGUCUCAAGUAUCCAAUCAUCAUGUCUCCAACAUGGUAAAAGUCACUUGUAACCCGAAGGUCUAGUUCUAUGUCUCAAUAUGAGGUUUAAUCGUUCAAUCAUUUCUAUGUCAAUGACCAUAGCUUUACUACGUCAAAUCCAAGCCCAAUGCCCCUUUUAUGACAUUAGCUUACUAAAUCACGCGUCAUGUACAUCUAUGUUCUUUGAUUUCAUUACAUUAUGCUAAGUCCAAAUUCAGUCCCAACACUAGUGCUGCUUUAUGACACUAGGUUUCACUUGUCCCAAUUACAUCACACGCCCAAUGCCCCUUUAUGACAUUGGCUCAAUAGUAAGCUAAUAGUGUAAGUUUCAAGUCUCUUCACGGCAUUAUGUAUGGUCCUAUGUCCAACAUGAGAGUUAUGUCUAAAUGCACAUUAUCCUUCUCAUUCUCACUAUAUAAAACAUGCUCUUGAGUCUUAUCUAGAAUGCUAAGCACAUGCAUAAGUCUCACAUGCCACUCUCUGCUACAUAGAGGUCCAAAAAUGUAUUAUAUACAAUGUAGGCAUUUUAAGCAUUCUAAAAUUCACAAUAAAUACAUUUAUCAUGGAAAUGCAUGAAUUUCUACUUUACGAAGUAUAGAACAUCGGAUAUGAGAAUUUCUCAUAUGCUAGGCUAGGUCAAACCCACCGAACUUCGCGCAACCCUUCGUUUGCUCCAACGAAGAUGUCCACUAAGCUCCUAACACCCUAGAAGCAUCAAAAAGUGAGCUACAAGAAGUAAACGAACAACUAUUAACUCAAUCAUUAACCAUCUAGGCAUAGAGGGCUAAACUCUCACCUAUAGUGUAGAAAUCCCUUCCCAAAGCUCAAAUGGAAGCUAGAUCUCUCCCAAAGCAACCUAAACCAAGGUUCUAAUCCAAAUAGAUUAGCACAAAAAGCCCUAAAUCAAAAAGCCCCAAUUUAACCCUAGAUUUUCCAUUCUAGGGUUUCAUCUCCCAAAAUCCACCAAAACUAGGUUUAGAGGGGAGGAACAAGCAACAAACCUCUUUAGAAGUUCCAAUCCAAGCUCCAAGAGUGAAGAUCUCCUCUCUUGCAAGCUCCAAAUCCAAGCCUCCAAGCAUCAACAAGGUGGGAAGAGAAGGAGAGGAAAAUGCUCCAAGUUCUCAAGCUAGAUCCUCCUCCUCUUCUUCUCCUUCUUCUUCUUCUCUUCCUUCUUCUCCGUCUCUAUCUAGGGUGUUGGGAGAAUGAGAGAAAGAGAAAUGAGAAAAGGGAGAGGGUGAAAUGGCCAUGUAGGCCAUCAAAUGUAACAAAAUCCAAAGAGGCCCCUCAAUUUCCCAAUAUUGCAUCAGCUCGGACUGGGCAGUUUUCGGACUGAGGGACCGGUCUCUCCGAUCUGGGACCGGCCUCUCGGCCUGCCCCGAAAAUCCAACGUUCGGGAAUCGGUCUCUCCCUGCAUGGGACCGGUCUCUCCCCGCAUGGACGCGCUCGGGGAUCGGUCUCAUCCGCCAAGGACCGGUUGCCUCAAGGCUGCCGCACUACUGUUCCGGGGGGACCGGUCUCUCCUAGCCAGGGACCGGUCCCUGAGAGUAAAAACUCUCAGGACUAGUCCAGAACUCAGGUUUUCGAACUUUUUAGGUCGGAAACAUUCUACGACCCUCCACCAAGUGUAGAAAAGCUUGAAACACAUCCAACCACUCGAACCUCGCAAUUUGCACAGGUCCGUGUGCUACAUUACAGGUUAUGCAUUCACACAUUUACAUUGCCAUCUCUCAAUGAAUAACUUACAUUUCCUUUCAUCAACUAUAAACAGAUGAAAUAUACAAGGUAUAGCUAUACUCAAUAGAUGUUGCUAUCUAUAGCGCGUUGUCUCUGUCACGAUCCUCAAUCACCCCGCACGAGCUAGAACCUGCAUGGUUAGUGGGGUGAGAACUACUAAAAAUUUCCAGUGGGUUCGGCUGCCGACCUCGCCGACUCACCUACUAAGUUUACUCAGGCAUAUAUAGGCAAAGAAAAGAACAGAUAGUAACCAACUAUAACAUGUAAUUACUACAAUACCUGUACAAAGCUGAAAGGAACAAUAUAUAUAACAGAUGAAAAUUAUGCAUGCAUGCUAUUAAUAACCAUUACCCAAUCAAUCUGGUUAACCAUUUGGUUAACUAUAACUUACCAACUCAAUCACUUUUGUCGGGCCCUAAGCUGCCUCCCGAUGGGACCGUCUACUGGGAAGACUUAUACGAUCAACCGAGUUGAUGACACACUCCGGAGCUCAUCGCCCAAGGAGGAGAGACCUUACCUUGAGCAUUAGACUAAUGUGAGUAUGAUCCAAUCCUCACUUAGAGGAUGCACUGACAAUGCCACACUUUGACUAGCUCUUUAUGCUAGAUUUACAUGUCCAACUCUAGAUGCUAAUCAGUUCAUCUAGUUUUAAUGCCACACAUUUUACAAGUUCAUACAUCUAUAGGGUUCUAUGUUUACUAACCAUUGUCCAACUGUACUUUGCUUUCAAGGUAUACAAAUAGACCACAUGUCAAUCUAAUCACAUAUCAAGCUCAAUCCUAUAAUGCAUGAAUUUCAACUAAACAUAUACAAUCCAUAUAUGCUCAAGAAAAGUGGCGUAAACAUAAUAGGUCAUUCGAUGACUUCGGAAAGCACCACCCACCUUUAAUUAAUGCCGGAGUGCGAGAAAUCCACUUCCCGCACUUUAUGAACCAUCACGACCCUCGCUCGCGGUAAACGAAGCUAAAAUGAGGUUUUCCUCACUAGCUUGCCGUAGGCUCAUCGAAACGCCGAUCUGAGCUUUCCAACGCGUCAGUUUUACCCUCUAUUAGGUUUUCACGCGAUCAAUUCCAACCUAGAGCCUCAAUCUUGCAAAAUUGCAUUUCUAAUUUUAGGCCUCACAUAACUGUUACUACACCACUCUACAACAACAUAUAAAGUAACUCAACUUUAACUAGUCCAAGAACCUCAAAACUAACAGUUUAGAGGAUUUACCACAACCCUCAACAAAAACCUGCAUGCUGGUUCAUCACAAUUCCCAGCAGCCUAGCUUACAUAUAACAUACGUAUAGUUUCAUUAUUAGGUUCCCUAACAACUUUAACUCAUAUACAUAUUGUUAACUCCCUGGUUUACACAGCAUCCAGGAAUUCCAAUUCAAACUCCUUUUCGAUAAAUAAUUACUCCAACUUACCAUAGAACUAGCAACUUAAAUUCUAUAUGCUAUCAACUUAGCAUAAUUUCUAGAUUUCCAUAGCAUUCAAGAUGCUUUAGCAAUCAAGAUUUAUAAUUUAAACUUCUUUAGAGUGUAACUAGCUUAAAUCCCAGCUGAGAAACAACUUCUUACCUCAAUUCCUAAACUUCCUCCGCUAGUUUCCUGCUCCAAAAGCUUUCUUCUCAGCUCCAACAGCAAGAAAUCUGCUUCGAAAUUCUUCUCUACCAAGCUUUUCCUCACAGCCACUACAAGCUGAGAAUUAGCAAUUCUAUUGCUUACAACUCUCUCUAAAGCAAUUCUAAAUGUUAGCUACCAAUAAUUCAUAGCCCAAACACCUCUCUAUGUUAAAUACCAUAACACAAAACAGGGAAUAAGAUCAAUCUAUCCCUGAUUGCAUUUCUAAUCCAUAUCCCAGAACAUCAUGUUCACAAAGCAGUUUUUUUAUGCUUCUACGAGCUUUCACAGCUAUAAAACCCCAAAUUAACCUCUUUCCAAUGUAAAGAACUAAACCCUAAUCAUAACUUGAUUAAGUUUACCUUAAUUCGAUGCUCCAACAGCUAGCUUCCCUGCUCUAAAGCCUUCUCUUCAGCUCAAAACACCAAAAUCUGCACUUCUCCAACUUCUUCUUCACCAACUUGCUUCUAGGGUUGAGAGAGAAAGAGAGGGCGAAAUAGAUAAGAAGAAGGCUGUAGGAAGGAGCCCCUGGUACGUGGGCACCUGUAAAAUACCUGGGUUAAAGAGAUAAGACUGGAAUUUUACAACUUAACCCCCUAAAUAGCCAAAAGUGCAUUGCAGUCCAGCAAAUUUCGCAUGCUGGUACCGGUACUGGCUGAGGUACUCAAUGUAAAAUUCUGCACUAGCAGCAGCCUGGCAGCAGCAGCAAUUGGAGGCCUUUUUGCGCGUCUAGUUCACUCCGAAUCCAUCUAAGUACCUCCAAAACAUGCCAAACACUAUCCCCAAGCUAUCAAUUUAGUUUGGGAAUACCACAUUUACAUUAUUGCUUCUCUUUGAGCAAUUGAAUCCAAGUUAACCUUGUCAACCAAAACUCUCUUCUAAUUUCGUUUCGCGCCCGAUUUGCAUCAAACACUCAAUUACCUCCAGAAAUCAUUCCCACACCUCCAAAAUCACUCGGGAAUGAUGCACAUCCAAUUUAAACUUCACUUUGAUCUUCCAGAUCAAAGUUAGCAUCGCAACUCAAAAUUUUCAGUAUAUUACAUUACUAAUCAAGUGUAAAAACUGAAUGGAUAAGAAGAAGUAGAGAAUAUAAUAGAUAGCAAAAGAACACCCAAUUUAAAGAUGAAAAAGAAAAAAGAAAGCAGCAACAACAUGAACGUGACCGACAACAUGAACAACAACAUUAUUUUAUUGUGUAGUAGAUGGAACAUAUCAAUAGUAUGAACAAUGCAGACAAUGUAAACAACAAUCCAGCAACAAUAGACUUAGUUGCAAUUUCCUUUUCUUCAUAAUUUUAUUAAAAGGACUAUCACCAACACAAAGAAGGGCAAAACAACAAAGAAAGACACCUAAACAUGUGACAGAAUUCAAGCCUAAACGUAGACAAAGACUAUUUCUGAAAUUCGAGAUGCAAAACCAACCUAAUAACAUACUUAGUAGGUCGGGAAAAAAAAGAGAGAACAAAUUGUAUCCAAUAAUCUUCGUCAAACGGGAGAAAGGCUAGAUCUUGUAAUAACUAGGAGGCGUUUCCGGAUCAUCACUAGUUGUUGCUGUUGUUUCUACAGUACCUGAUGUUGCCGGAUGUCCAGUGGGUUCUUCUUCCAUCGGAUCAACAUUAGGGGGAUCAAUGAAAGCGCAGCAUCAAUACUUUCCUUAAUUUCCUUCAAGGCAGUGACAAUUUAUUUAUUUUUCUUCAAUUAAAAAAUUAUAAGACUUUUUGAGAAGAUCAGAGUUCAAAUUAAACAUUUCGUACUCAUUUUGGAGUUCCAAAUGCUCAUCAUAAAUACGAUCAUGUAAGUUCUUAUAAUAUUUCUUGUUCUCAAAAUUAACAUCUCUAACUUUAAAUCCCAAUUCUUUACGAAGCCUCCUAAUAGCUGCACAUGCGGCAUCUCUUUAGCUUGAUUCGACUCAGAAAUUGAAGCACCAUAACAUGUAAUUAUCUUCAUAAAUCGGCUACUUCUGGGUACUUCCACAUCAACAUAAGAACAGAAUCAACAAUCAGCAUCUAUAGUCAUGCGGUAUCUCGGGGGAGGUAAGGAAAUUUGCAAACAGAUAUUACGAAGCAACCGGCGAAAGCUGAUGUCGACAUUUAUGGAAGAAUCCAUCUCUGCAAGAAAAUGCAAGUUGCCGAAAAUUACACGGUGACCGUAUAUUUUAGCAUAGACUUGUCUUUCAAUUUAGUUAAUAAAUACAUUAUCUAUCAAUUUAUACAUAUUUGGAGAUAUACUUACAGGCAAUAAAUUUAUAAUUAAAAAAAGCACAUGAAGAGAUGCAAUAGUUAUUUAAAUUGUAAAUAUAUUUUUGAAACAAAACACAAAUUGCUGAAAAUUACUUACAAUAACAGGGAAGCAAUGCAGAAGCAAACAAAUGUAGAACGACAAUGCAAAUCACCGUCACUUUCCUGAGGGAAAAAAAGUUAUGUUAAUUAAAAAAUAGUUAAUGUCGGCUAGGAUUACGGGUAGAUAAAAUUAAAAAAUAAAAAUAGUAUAAAAAUUUUAUAGCUUACGGGAGAAAAAGGAUUGGGUUAUCAGAUACAGGAAAAAAUGGAUGUCAUAUGUGUUAUUGUAUAGCCGAAUGGACAUGUGUUAGGGUAUAGGAAGCUCUGCUGCGAAACGCUUCACCCAUAGUGGAUUAAUCCAAAAUCGAAAACGGCGACGAAGGAAGACGAAAAGACGAUGAAAGAAGCGGCGGUGAGGGGAGAAAUCCAUCGUUUGAUUCCGGCACCACAAACAGCUAGAAUAGAAGAAGAAACGGUGAUAGAAGAAGCGGUGGCAAGGAAAAGGAUCCAUUGUGCCCAAGGAAGAGGAAAAGGGAUGGUUCGGCCGGAACGUAACAGCCUAAGGAAGAGGAAAGGUCUGACUCGGUUUGGUUCAUGCAAGGAAAGAGUGAACCAGGUUAGGUUCAAGCAAAGAAAAAAAAAAUUGAGCCGAUUCGAGCAGGUUCACCCGGUUUGGUUCAAAAAUAAGAAAGAGGGAACCUGGUUCGAUUCAAGCAAAGAAGAGGGAACCUGGUUCGGUUCAAACAAACAAAGAGAAAAACUUGAGUUGGUUUGGGCACAUUAACCUAGUUCAAUGAAAGAAAGAUAGAAAUACAUAGAGGACUUGAGCCGGUUCGGGUUGGCACCAACACUAAACAAUCCGGUUCGGUUUAAGGAAAAAAAGAUAGAAACAUGUGAAGGACUUGAGCCGGUUCGGGUUGGUGCCCACACUUAGCAAAUCCGGUCCGGUUCAAGCGAAGAAAGGACAUGCUGCCACGUGGCAAAUUUAAGGGAAAUAAUGAUAAGAAAGAAAGAUAGAAAUACAUAGAGGACUUAAGCCGGUUCGGGUUGGCACCUACACUAAGCAGGACUUAAGCCAGUUCGGGUUGGCACCUACGCUAAGCAGGACUUAAGCCGGUUCGGGUUGGCACCUACACUAAGCAAUCUGGUUCGGUUCAAGAAAAAAAGAUAGAAACAUGUGAAGGACUUGAGCCGGUUCGGGUUGGUGCCCACGCUCAACAAAUCCGGUUCGGUUCAAGCAAAGAAAGGAUAUGCUACCACUGGCAAGUUUAAGAAAAAUAAUGAUAAGGAAUAGAUUGUUCUAAUUAAAGAUGUAUGCGUUGAGAAAAGUUCACUAACAUAAUUAAGGUUCCGUGGAAGUUGAUUUCUCUUAUUUAUGAUUGUUUUUCUGGAUUAUCCCUUUAAAUAUAAUGAUUUUGUGUAGUCCUUGGUUCUUACUUGUGAGGCAUUCAUUGUGCAGAGUGAACAAAUUCGGAUGGAAUUCGAUUCUUGAAUGCAUGAAAAAAACUGUAAGCCUGGAGGCUGGAGCCAGAACAUGGCUUUUUAGAAUGGCUGAAAUUACAUGAUUAGUCAUGGUAAUUUGAUCAAAAUUUUCCACUCGUCCACAUCAACUCGUUGUACCUUUGUUGAGAACAAAGAAAAUUUGAACCCUUUUUUUUUUAUCUUAUCAUAAUUGAAAUGACUAAUAUCAAAAGAAUGACAAAUGAGAACCGAUGAUCAUUUGCUCUGAGAAAAAUUUUGUUGAUUUUUAGAAAUUUUUAGAAAUGUUCCUUGAUUUAGUAAAGCAUUUGAAAAUUUUAAGACAUAAAAUUUAGUGUUUUGAUCUUGCGUGUAUUGAUUAGUGGUAGGGGUUGUGAGAUAAUUAUUCAGUAUUACGGUGCUGUACGACUCAUGUGUGGUAAAAUAAGCCAUGUAUAAGUCUUGUUAAUGUAUAACGACUGAUGGUUCUUGCGCAUUUGAGAUGUAGUGCAUGCACUUUUGAUACGUUAUAUGAUCAAUGCACUAAGCUGCUCUAUCAUUAUCUGGGUUUUGAGUGCAGUUCAACUAAUUUUUGCUCAAAGUAGGUUUUCUUCAACCAAAUGGAGAGAAUGUUAAGGACGCUUUAGUUGUGAUUAGCAGGAAAAAACAAGGAAAAGAAAAAGAGAGACAGGUUGCCGCACACUAUUUAACUCGUUUUCUUUGCUUUGUAAUUAGAUAUGCACAAUACUGUUCGUGCUCUUUGGCAAGCAUCUAACAAAUUUUGAGGCUUUUUGCAUUUUGCUGUAAACCAAUGCCUAUAAUCUAAAACACUACGUACUGAUCCAAGUACUAGCUUAUCAAAUAAUAUGUGCUCAACUUUGUCUAUCUCCUUUUGCCUAUAGUUGGAUUAUCUUUAUUAAGGCCGUACUAACAGCAGUGACAGGUAUUCUGUAUUAUGGGAAAUUAUUUUGGGCAUGUUGACACUGUAUAUUCUAAUUGGUAGCAUCUAUAGCCUUCUGUCCUCUCCUGAAAAUCACAAAGUGCAAUCAGCCUGAAUCUACAUUAUCUGUCACUAAGUCGUGGUAUAAACUAUUUUGCAUUUUGUGUUACAUUCCUUACGCCUACUUUGUUCUCCCAUUAUCAUGUUCCACCUUUUGACGAACUCAAAAUUAAAUGUGAAAAUAACAUUCCUUCUUGGUGGACUUUCAUAUUGCUUAAACUGUACUUUGCUGGAGCUUAUGGAUUAUUUCUCUUCUUUAGCCUGUGGGACCCAUGCUUCUUAGUGCUCUCCUUAAAAUUGGUUCUAUUCUUAUCAUUUAACCGGUUUGUUGUUUCCGCUAUCGUCGCUUCGGAUUCUAUGGGCCCUGAGCGCGGAGGUUCCUUCUCCUUUCCCGACCAUUUCCUCUCUUCGCCGCCUUGGUUUCUUGCAUCUGUUGAAGUCGAAGAGUUGUUCUAUGCCAUUUCUCCUACCUGCCUUUGCGUAUGUAAUUCAGUCUCGCUUCCGCGAUCUCUGCUCCUCUAUAUAAGGUGGAGAGGGAAGGGAGACAUCCUUAGGCGUAGUCUAAAACCCUAGUGCCACCCUUCCUCGCGAUCAGUGACGGCGCCUCUUGGCUCUCUCUCCCUCUUUGUGAUCUGAUUAAGGUUCGGUUGAGCUACUUGAGGGCUCACAGUGCGAUUUGGGGCGUCUUGUGGGGAUCGGAUCGCUUUAUCCCUCAAACUUUUAGGUAAGUUUUGCAAAUUUAGCUGAAGAAUCUCACUUGAAGAACAUUUUUUUUCCUCUCUUUAUGAUCCUUUUGAGGUUUAUGUUGCUAUAAUUUUGGGUUUGGAGCUUGAAUCCUUUGGCAUCGAUCUGAUCGGUUUUUCUUUUUUUAUUUUGUGCAAACUAUAAAUUAAUUUGUCCACAAGUUUAAUACCCUAUGAAGAAUCUGACAUCAAGGAGCUGUUAAUGUGCUCUUCUAGCAUAUUCGUGGAUCAAAAGAUAGAGUUUUGGUGCUAUUAUUGAUGGUAUUAUGUCUUUUUGAUGCAAUUUAAUUGUAAAUAAGUGCAAUUUCAAAGGAUGCAUGUAUGAAUACAUUCCUAUAAACUUGCAUAGAUAUAGAUAUAAACUUCUCUACACUUCUUUAGUUAUUUAGNCCGAAUUAGUUUAUCGAAACCAUGUGCAGUCAACACAACAGAUAACCACAUAAAAACACAUAAUAAAUAAAUAAAUGAUUAACUAAAUAACUAAAUAAGUGCAAUUUCAAAGGAUGCAUGUAUGAAUACAUUCCUAUAAACUUGCAUAGAUAUAGAUAUAAACUUCUCUACACUUCUUUAGUUAUUUAGUUAAUCAUUUAUUUAUUUAUUAUGUGUUUUUAUGUGGUUAUCUGUUGUGUUGACUGCACAUGGUUUCGAUAAACUAAUUCGGUAUCAAGUAUUUACUGAUUGAAUGUUUAGUAGAGAAAACAAAUAUGAAUUUUUGAUGGGUGUCCAAAAUUUUUGUUGUGUUGAAUGUACAGAGUUUUGGGAUUUGGAAAAAUAUGUUUAAGCGUUAUUGAAGAACGGAUCUUUGUUAUUUUAUUGUUCAGCUACUGGUUUGUAUGUGUUUGAUGAAAUGCCGAUUUGAAACUUAAUUCAAUAUAAAGAAAAUGCCUAUAUUUUUCCGCAUCCUUACAUUUUGAUUUUUUUAUUUUAUAGCAUGAAGAGGUGGUGAUAAAUUAUAUAAUCAGAUUAUCUGAAAAUUAAAAUACGGAUUAUGCGGUAAAUAGUUGAAUUUCCUUUUAAUUGGGCACCUCCUGUUAUUUUCUUUGAGUUAUUUAAAGUUCCAUAUCAGGAAUUGAAUAGCAAGAAAAGGUUGGAUGCAACCAACACUAUUAUUUAAGGUAGUUUGGAUGCAGGUGCUGUGGACAUUCAUUCUUGAAUGGAAUUUAUUUAAGCAUUGGUAAGAGAGGAUAAAUUGAUCUUUUGUAGGGUGGGUGGCAUUGGAUUAAGUUGAUAUUUUAUAGGGUGGGUAGCAUGCGAUUAUUUUCUUUGCAGUCGCCAUAAUAAAAUGAGUGCUACUUAGGUUGAGCGAUAUGUUGAUUAUUAAAACAAAAUGGUGGACUUGGAGAUAGCAAGGAAUUUGAAAAUCAUCUAUCAUCAUUUCUAAACAUGUAAUUGGUUCUGAUUGGUUGGCCCAAUUUGAAACCUUGAUGAGUCCGUAUAUUUGUAUACUGGAGCUAAUUCGACUAUACGCUGAAAUAAGAAAAACUUACUAUGAUGGUGGUUCGCAUUAAGAUUGGUUGGAUGGCAUCAUUCAUGUCAAAUGCAGCACUAUGCAGUAAACUGAGGACCGUAUCACCUGAGCCGUUCUCAUAUUCAAAUGCUCAGAUUUGUUGAAGCCAUCGGAACUAAUUAGAUGCUUGAAAUUAUUAAUGAACUACCAAUUUUUAUCUAUGGUUGAAUUGAAUGUGUGGAAAUAGUGAGCGAUGAUAUUAUAGGCUGAUUCGAAUUUGAUCAGGACAUUAGGGAAUUAGAAUUGCUAUUUGUUUGCUGGUGUUAAUAGAGUGUAGACGAUUCAGUAAGUACUUACACUACAUUAGUACUUUGUUAAAAACAGCUUCACUUUCUUUUUUCACACCGCCGUAGUAUAUACAAAUCAAAGAAGAUUUUGCUAACAAAAAGUGUUAUUUUAGAGUAAUUACUUUGUGGUUUUCCAUUCUACUGUUUUAGUAUAAGCUUUGAUCACAAGAAAAAAGAAAAGAAUUUUAUGCUCCAAUGCGAUUUUCCAGUAUAUGUUGCUUUUGAAUUUUUUUAGUUUUCUCUCCCCUUUUUUUGUGUACUUUGAAACUUUUUCAAUGUGUGGAGGUCCUGGCAUUAUUUUCUACCCUAUCUAUUUCUUUGUGCUGGAGUAUUCUUUUAGUUGUUGGUUAUUUGACUAUUACUUCACUGUUUGAGAAUUUCUUGCCUUUCUCCAUAAUUUGAUUGAUACUUUUUUGUGGCUGGGUAUUAAACGAUCAUAAUUUGCCUAUUUCUAAAAGAAAUUUUUUUCGUCGCGCCUUAAGCUCCCUUCUUAUAACUAUCGCUUCAUAUAUUUAACUAAACCUCACUGUCUAUUACUUCAUUUUCUUACUACCUAAGAGUUUUUUUCAGUUAUUUUGAAAGAUUGAAUAAUAAGGUUCUCACACGAUGUUGGUGAUGCCAAUGUGUGCAUUCUUGAUUUUUCUUUGAUUUGCUCUUUAAGUUUCAUAUGGAUGGAUACUUUUUUCUAUGCCUUUUUGAUAUUAUUUUAUUUAUUAUUGAUCUUCUGUUGUUAAAUUUUGAUUUAAAAAAUAUUUAUUUUCUUCAUCAAUGAUGCAAAUCAGUAUUUGACCGUAUACUCUAUUGUUUGUAUUUUCUUUUUUUUCCUGAAAUUCAUGUUCCUCAUUUGAUAGUUACAGGAUUGCUUUUUAUAUAUUUGAUGAAUUGUUAUUGCAAGCUUUCUUCUCUAGACUAUCGUCAAUAAUACAUGAUGAUAAAAAAAAAAAUUGCUUCAACAUUAAUAUCUAUCCGCUGCAUCGUGCUGGUACUAAACUAGUAUGUACUUAUUGCCGUAGUCUUUACCAUCUAAGCUUCCUUAUCCCUAAAUACGUAAUGCAGGGCUAGAGGCUUUUUAGAAGCUCUGACCAGAAACAGCAAAGAUUUGAUAAUUCUUUACAUAUUAUGACUAAUCCUUGACAUAUUAUAUGUCAUUACAGAAAACUGGAACAGCUAGCAGAAGAGGUUGACUCGCUGAAGGAGAGUCUUGACAAGCAUUUAAUGCGCCAACAAAAGCGAAUGGUCGAAGCUAAAGAAAGGGCAGAGUUACUGGAAAGAGCAGUAAGAAUUCCUUGAUUUGGAAUAUAAAAAAGAAGUUUUAAUAUCAGUUAUUUUUUUCCACCUGCAUAGUUGUUGGUCCUCUAUGAAAUAAGGAUAAUUUGGCUUGCUGUUUUAAUGGAAUAUUAGAGGUUAUAUGUAUGAUUGAUUGCAAUGAAUGGAUUCAACAUGGUUGUUGCAGAAUGGGGACUCCUCUCACGUUCUGAGGAUAUUUGAUGAGGAAGCACAAGCAAUGCAAUCAGCUCGAAACUCCUCCAUAAUGCUUGAGGAAGCUUAUGCCACUGGAGUGGCUAUUCUAUCGAAGUAUGCCGACCAGAGGGACCGCUUGAAGGUAAUUACUGAUCACCUACUUGUAUGAGACAUUCUCAAAAUCAGAGAUCAGCAUGAAUUUAAUCGACUUGAGCUUAUCUGAGACCAAAUAUAAUCAAUUUGCAAGUUAGGUCCCAUGUGGAAAAAAUAGGGCCUGUUUGAAUGCAUUGAUAUCUUGUUUAAUGUGCUUCUUUCAUUUCCUUUAGCUGGCAUGUCGUAAUUGGUUGAUGCGGUGUUGUACUAAUGUCUACCGCAGUAUAAUAUAACUUACCUUUAAAUGAUUAAUAUGAUAAAUCACAUAACAGGUGGUACUUGCUAUGUGGAAAAGAUGGAAGAAUCAAAUAUUUCAUGAUAGUUAAGAAUGUAACUCGAAAGUGGUGAUCACAAAAGAAAAACAAAAAAUCACCAUACUACACCAGAUCUCAAUUGGAUGACAUGUUGUGGCAUCCAAAUAGACCCAAGUGUCGAAAUAAGUUUGAACGUCGAGUUCUCCUUGGACUACUAGAUGUUCUUUUCUUUACUGAUAACUGAUUUCUGUGUCUGCAGAGAGCACAAAGGAAAGCGUUGGACAUCCUUAAUACGGUGGGUCUGUCUAAUUCUGUCUUAAAGCUUAUUGAGAGGCGUCAUCGUGUAGACAAAUGGAUUGCUUAUGCCGGUAUGAUCAUUACGAUUGUGGUGGUAUAUGCAUUUUGGAGGUGGACACAUUGACUGUAAUUAUUAGUGUGAUAUCUGAGAGAACCAGCAAACAAUUGUUACUGAGGAUGGUACUCGGAAUAUUCAUUUGGACUUUCCAUUGGCCGAUUGUUGAAGUUGUAUCUUCGCAAAACUAGUCUUUAUAUGUAGGUUUUUAUCAUUUUUUUUUUGAAAAGGGUGACAUUGUAUAUGUUUGUGACCUUUUUCUUUGGGUUUUCUAGUGCAAUAGUCUUCUCCUAAAAUUUUAUUUUAAAAAUAGAUCUGUUUAAUUUUUAUUUAUAAAUAUGGUUAAAAGCGGUGAACUAUUCACCACAUUCUUUUUUUUUCUCACUUCUCAUUAUAUUUCUAUGAUAGUAAAAGCGGUGAAUGGUUCACCACUUUUAUUCUUUUUCUACUCCCAAUGAGGAGUUAUGAAUGCGGUGAAUCAUUCACCGCAUUUAGAGAUCUAUUUUUAUAAUUAAUUUUUAAAAAAAAUUUAUUUUUAUAAUUAUAAAAAUCAAUAGGAUUAUUUAUAAAAUUUUUUUUUUCCUUUUCCUUUUUCCCUUCCCUAGAGUAGGAAUUGGAUUGUAGACUUGCAACAUGCUAUUUGGGACUUACUAUUUAUUUGCACGGCAUGUGCAAGUUGGUUGAAGAUGUUGGGAAUCACCGUUGUAGCAAAGCAAAAGCGAAACGCAAAAGUCUAGACCUUACACCAUUAAGAAAGACAAGCAUGUAAGCAGCAGAGCGGGGAAGACAGCAGAUUUGUUGUUCCAAAUGUUUAAUCUUGUUUUUAUUUCAGUCAAGUUUCCAUCGAAUAUUGGACAUCAAUUAGUCUCGCACGGACCUGUAACAAUUGUAAAUAAUAAUUUUUUAAAAAAGCAGUGUCGACAACAAUUGUUGGAGAAGAAAAAAAUAGAAGUUACAUAGGUUGAUUCAGUAGAUAUAUACAGGUUGCUUCAGUAGAAAAAAAAGCAGUGUCGACAACAAGUCAUAAUUCUCAUCCGCUUUUAUGUUAUCUUUUCAUACAGGUGAUGUAUUCGAUGAUGAAGAGCAAAUAAUGGGGCAAAUCAACACUAACGUAGAAGUUAAAUAUCCCUAAAUUUUGUUAAUAACGUGUUUGAGGUGAAAAAAAAAAAUUAAAAAUGAUGAAUAGAAUGUUGAACUUGUAGAAUAUUAUUUUUGAUGUGUGUAUUAAGUAAACCUUAUAUAAAUAGUAUAAUAAUAAAAUGUUGUAUUGUUAUGUAAGCUUUAUUUUACUCAAAAAAGGAAGCAGAAUACUAUAGGAAUGUUGUCAAGAUAUUGUAUUUCGUUUGUCAUGUAAUAUUAUAUAAAUUAUAACUAUUACAUGCUGCUUCUAAUUCUGACACUUUACAUGUACGAAAAAAAUUUUGUCCAUGAAUUGGAUCUGUUACUCACCUAGUUGGGGCUUCAGCACGUCUAACGACAAGAAGAAGCAACGUGAAGCUGAAAAUAAUGUUGUCCCCACUUUUGAAAUGGUCGGCCCUUGAACAAUCAAUUGGACCAGCUAGAAACACUGAACAAGAUUGUUCUGGAAGUGGCAUUCUAGUGGUAUUACUCGCUUGAAGACGAAUCCAUCAAAAUUAAAGACUACAUGGAAGAAGCUUUUCUAGCUGAGUUCACUACAGUUGACGAUAAAAUCAAAAUAGCUACCCUAGUCGCUACCAAAAAGGACAAAGGCAAAUCAAUAUCAGACUAUUAUACAAAGGUAACAAAAUUUUAGUCUCAAAUGUCAAUGUUUUGCCGUAGAACCGUUAUUUAAUAAGUGAACUACGUGCAGUGAGUGGAUUAAUUUUGCUUACAAUGGAGUGCUGUGUCCGCGCACUAUAAUAAAUAGAUUGUAACAAUUUAUACUACAGGAGGAAUCAAACAGCAGAAUCCACCAUUCAAUGGUCACCUGCUUCAACAUAGAAAUUCGAUGAAAAGAGACAUUUGCAAACAGAAUACAAAAGACACAACAUAAAAGCUGGUCCCAAAAGGUAGAACUAUAGAAGCUACAGGGCCAAAAUUACACUACCCAGUACAGAGGAGCACCCCCAGUUCAAUUUGCAGCAGCCAUCACAAAAUAAGACGCCAUAAAGUAUAGAGUUUAUUCAAACUGGAGUCCUUAUAGCAGCAUUCAACAAACACCAACACCAAAAAGAAAACAACCGACUCAACAGCGCAAGAUCGAAACAGAACACAACUAAAGCUUGUAGACUGCUAACAUAGCAGGACACUAUAACCUAAUACACUGCCCAGAGCAAGACAUAGAGACAUAGUAACAGUAGUAAAAGACUUAAUACACUCCCAAGAGCAAGACAUAGCAGUAGUAUUAAUAGGAAUAGUAGUAGUAGAAGUUGACAAAUAUAUGCAAUCAUAUCACUCUUCCUCCUCAGACUCUGCCGUCUGUAGCCACUCAACAAAGGGCUUCACAUUCUUCAGCACCUGAGAGCUCUUGCCGCCAGCUGUCCCUUCCUCAUACCACUGUGCUAUGCUUUCUUCCUCCAGAACAUCCGCAUCAUAAAGUGCUUUGAGAACGAGUGCCACCUCCUUCAGGGCUUCUGCGCGGCACUUGCCACAAAAUACUUCGAUAGCUUGGAGCAAAAGCAGCUGAGAUGCCUCAUCCUGCACAAAAGCAGCAAUGUACUUCCUUUUCUUGCCCACCUCCUUUGCAAAUCCUUUGCCAACACCUCCAAAAAGAGCCUCAAAAAGGGCUGUCAUUACGUCCCGAGAAGGCUGACCUGCUGUACCCAGAAAACUCUGAAGCUGGUUUGGGGUAGAACCCUUGUUUAUAUGAUCCUUGAUCUCCCGAAGCAGUGAAUCAUAAGCACUGAUAUUGGCUUUGUCACCAUUUUGGGUAGCACAAGAUUUUUCUUCAUCUUUGAUCUUUCCAUUAGUGAGCCCCUCUUUCUUUGCCUUCUCUUGCUUUUUGUUAUCCUGCUCAGGCUCAGUGGCGGAGAGCAUCACCAUCUCCGAAGUCACAGCAUUAAGCUGUUCUUGAAUCCGCUGCUUUGCUGCCUCCAGUGAGGUGUCGGUUUGCCACUGGACAUCAUCAUCAUCAUGGUCAUCAUUAUCACCAGCAGCAUUAUCACCAUCUUGACUCUCAACAGGCGAAGCCGAACGAUCCUCAUCAGAACCACCACCAUUAGCUUUCUUCUUCGAAACACCAGCUUUUGCACCAGAGGCUUCCUUGGAAGAAGCACCACCUUUCUUCUUCACAUCCUUUUUCAGCUUCUUCUGCUCCUCAUCAGCAGCCUCCCCUUCCUUGAGCCGUUCCUUCUCAGCCCUCCUCAUUGCCUUCUUAUUAUCUUUUCCUCCCUUCUUUUGCUCAGGUGGGUUCUUAAGAAUGAAGGUUGUGAGCUUAUCCCUCAUAUCAACAUCAGACACAUACCCACAGGCAGCACAUUUCAGGGUAAUCAUCUGAGUCUUAGUGAUCACAAUUUCAGUCUCAGGGUUGCCACAUCCGUAGCACUGCACGUACUUCUUGAUGAAGUUCUCGAGAAGGCCAGCCAGCUUGGCAGUGUCAUGGGCUCCAUUCACUAGGGAAGUGCCAUUCUUCUCAUCGAACUUCGACUGCGCACCAAGCUCACAGCCAAAGUACUUGGUGGUGUAAGAGGCUGGCCUGGCUAGUGCUUUUGCAAUGUCCACCAUGUUCACAAUGUUGGUCUUGAUACCGUUUCCUCGGCCUUCAAUCUUCGUUACCAUCUUGGGCAUCUUGUACCUAUAAAAGGCAUCAUCGCUGUUCGAAGCACCAAUAUUUUGCAAAGCCAUAUUUGCUUCCUUCUUAGAGAAUGAGAAACUUGACACUAUAUAGGCAGCAAAAGUUAGCAGUGCUGUUUCAUUCGAGGAGGCCACGCAGCUGUGAGAUGUUGAUUACAGUAGCAACUACCAAACUUUUGCAGGAAUGCCAAAUGGACUCGUGAUGCAUGCAGCCAAAGAGACUCUCGUAGGAGAGUCGGAACCUUUUUCUUGAUGUAGGAGAAUACUCUCCAAGCAAUCCAAUUGAUCCAAAGUAAAGAGAGGCUUGCUCAGACAUAAAAGAAACUUCAAUGUUCACGGCUUCCACUUUGGCUAUGUGCUUGUAACAGAACAGUCUGGAGAUGCCAACUUCCUGAAUAAGAAUUAGACACAUUAAAUUAAUAUUAAUCGAUAUCCACAAGAUUGCGUAUGCAUGAAGAGUGACAAAAUGGGAAAAUAAAAAUUAUUCUGUCUGAGGUAUCAUUCCACUUAAUCAUUCUUCAAACCUCAAAUAAAAACAAAUGCAAAUAUGAGAAAAGCCACUAGCCCACUAGCAAUUCAAUUUAGUCCGGGAAAAUGUCGAAGUAUUAUGAAUCUUUAUUCCAUCAUUUCAUUACCAGAUUAGGUAUUUAUAAAUCCAAUAAAACAGUUCGACCACAUAAUAGUAAUUAUGUUAUAUGUAGUGGUUAAAUGUCUUCUGAAACAAAUUAAUUCAUUGUAUAAAUAACAAAGGAAAGGGUUAUUCUAAUGAUAUAUAAUUAUGUUCUAUGUCAUUAUAAAAAGUGCGGUUUCUAGCUGUUAGGUAGCCACUAUUAAUGAAAAUGCUUAGUUUGCUUCGAUAAUUGAGAUGACGAACUCUAAGCCUUUCAACUUUUCCUAGUAAACUUUGUCUUCUUUAAGCUUUGCACCAUCAAAACUGUUUAGCAUUUUAUGAACAUGUUUUUCUUCAUUAUUGCAGUGAACAAGUGAAGGACAGAUUUCUACUUCACUUUUUCUUUUCAUCCAAGGUCCUUUUGUGUUGAUUUACAAAUCGAUAACUUCAUGCGCGUAAUUUAAAAGCGUAUAAACCUUAGCCAAUCAAUCAGCCUUCCCUGAGACCCAAGUAGAUUAGUAUGUAAAUAUAUAACUACUGACAUCAUAAGACAAAUCUACAAACAAGAUAAUACUUGAUGUUAUAAGAAGAGAGUCUUCCGACUGCAUGAACAAUCCACGAUAAUCAAAUUGCAAGUCCAACACAAGAAUUCAAAGUGCAGUUCAUGCGUUAGACUUAACCAUACGCCCGACCUCCAACCCAUAAAUAAUAAGUAGCAAUCACAUUAUCAGGUUUGAACUUAACACAGCCUAAGACACAAUUCUAGUGUCGAGCUUAAUUAGAGACAUGGGCUUGGCACAUGCAAAGUUUUACCUUGGAAGAAAUUCACAUGUAAUAUCUAUUUGGGAAAGGGAAGUGGAAGAGAUGAUCAACCUAAGAACAAUUGAGCACCCAUAAUAUCUCUAUAAGAAGACAGGAUAAAACCCUAGCUCAGAAAAAAUUGCAUAAAAUCACAUAUUAAAAUAACACAUAUCAUAACUACAAGAUCCGAUGAGAUCGUUUCCGAAUCAAAACACGAGGAGAGGCAAAAAAAAAAGAAAAAAAAAAUCAAAUCAAAUCAAAUCAAAACCAGAUCGAACAAGAUCGGAAGAACUCGUAACGGUGAAAAUCGAUCAACCUAUCGAUCGAUCGAUCGCUCGCUCGCUCGCUAGCUACAAGAAGAGAAAAAUUUGAACGUGUAUUCCAUUUGGGAAAGGGAAGAGGAAGAGAUGAUCACCGCGAUUGGGUUGCUUCGCCGCAGAGAGCUCCUCAGAUUUAACCUUUCCUCUUUCUUCGAUGUGGAGGAAACGAAGAGAGAGAGGGGGGCGGCGGGGUAGUAUUUAUAGCAAGGAGAAGGGGAUCGGAAGGUAACCCUUGUGUCUCAUGGUUCAGAUUUUAGGGCACCACUUACAUUAGUUUGCCCGCAAUUUGCCUUUGAAUUACCUUUUUGCCCCUCCAAAGGCGGUAGCAGCAGCCGCUGCUCAUAGGGGUGUAAACGAGCCGAACACGCCCAGUAAAAUAUCGACUCGAAAAAUUCAGCUCGUGUUCGGUUCGUUAAUAAACGAGCUGAACAUAAGCUGGCUCACGAGCUGACCAACGACCAAUAAGUUAAUAAGGAUUAGAUUGAAUAUGCAUAAAAAUAUAAAUUUAUAAAAUCUUAUCUAUUAAACUUUGAUCUAAUAAUUGAAACUUUACAUAUAAAUAAGUUUUUUUAUAAUUAAACUUUUAUUUAUAUUUUUAUUUUACUAAAAAUUAAAUAAUAAAAUUAUAUCUUAUAUAUAAUAUUUAUUUAUAUAUAAAAAUAUAAAUUAAAUUAAUUAUAUAAAUAUAAAAUAUAUGUAUUCGAGCUGUUAUCGUGCCAAACACGAGCGAGCUUAUCCCAGCUCGUAUUCGGCUCGUUUAUUAAACGAGNCUUGUUUAUUAAAUGAGUUGAAAAAUUCAGCUUAUGUUCGGCUCGUUUACUAAACGAACGAUUCGAUCUCAAGCUCAUUUUGAGUCGAACACGAGCUGGCUCACGAACAACGAGCUAGAUUGCCACCCCUAGACACAGGGGGUGUUUGGCCUAAAUUUUAAAAAGUGUUUUUGAGUUGAAAAGUGAUUUUCGGCUCAAUAGAGCGUUCGACAUCUUCAUUUUUAAAAUCUAAUUCUGCUUCUAAGAAUCAGAAAACUGAUUUGAAGGCCGCAGAAUCAAAAGUGCCGGAAGGUCAAGGAAGUUGGUAACCUGAUGACAGGGGAGCCGGCGACUGAAGCCUCGGUGAACGGCGGCCGUAACUAUAACGGUCCUAAGGUAGCGAAAUUCCUUGUCGGGUAAGUUCCGACCCGCACGAAAAGCAUAACGAUCUGGGCAUUGUCUCGGAGAGAGGCUCGGUGAAAUAGACAUGUCUGUGAAGAUGCGGACUACCUGCACCUGGACAGAAAGACCCUAUGAAGCUUUACUGUUCCCUAGGAUUGGCUUUGGGCCUUUCCUGCGCAGCUUAGGUGGAAGGCGAAGAAGGCCCCUCCGGAGUCAUACUUCCUUCACCUAAACUAGAACUUGAUUUAGCGGCUCUUUCCAAAAGGCGUGAAUGUAAAUAAAAAACAUCUCCUGGAUAAGCUUCACGACCGGGAGGUCUUCUUAAUAGAAGAGACAUUUGGCGAUAAGCUUGUACUUGUUUGGAGAGAUCAUCAUAAGCCCAUGCUAAAGUUUCAAACAAUUCUUGUCAAUAUCCACACCAUUAAAUUAAGAGCUGCUUCUUAAAAUCUAAUUAUGAUUUUAGAAUCAAACGUCAAAUUUUUAUUUUAAUUUAAAUUCAAUGUUUAAAUUUAAAUUUAACUUUAAAUUUUAAUUUUCAAAUUUAUUUUUAAAUUUUUAAAUUUUAAACUUUAAAUUUUAAAAAAUAGAUUUCAAACUUUAAAUAUUAAAUUUUAAUUUUAAAUAUCAAAUCUAAAAUUUUAAAUUUCAAAUUUCAAAUUUUAGAUUAAAUUUAAAUUUUAACAUUUUAGAUUUUAAAAUUUAAAUUUUAAAAUUUAAAAAUUUUAAAAUUUAAAUUACAAGUUUUAAUCUUCAAAUUAUAAAUUUCAAAUUUUUAAAAUUUAAAAUAAAUAUUUUUAAAUUUUAAAUUUAAAUAUUAAAAUUUUAAAUAUUAAAAUUUUAAAUUUUAUAUUUUAAAUUUAAUAAUUAUGUUAUAUUUUAAAUUUCAUAAUUAUUUUAAAUUUAAAUUUUCAAUUUUUAAUUUUUAAAUUUCAAAUUUUAAAUUUUAAAUUUUAAAUUUAAAUUUAUAUUUUUAAAUAUUAAAAUUUUAUAUUUUUAAUUUCAUAAUUAUNAAAUUAAAUUUAUAUUUAUAUUUUUAAAAUUUUAAAUUUUAAAUUUUAAAUUUUUUAAAUUAAAAUAUCUAAUUUUAAAUUUUGUAUAAUUUUAAAAUUUUAAAAUUUUAAUUUUAAUUCAAAUUUAAAUUUAGAUUUUAAAUUAUUUUAAAAUAAAAUUUAAUAAAAAUAUUAAUUUAUACAAACAUCAAAAAAAUUUUGCCAAAUAGAUUUUCAAAAUCACUUCAAAAAAAUCGCUUUUGUCUAAACUCAGCAAAACGCUCUACAGCAUUUAGCCAAAAUAACUUCUCCAAACUAUGGGCCUCUUUGGCCUAACUUCUGGAGAAGUGAUUUAUGUAAAAGUGAUUUUGGUUUGGAGAAAGAUUUGGAGAAUUGAUUUUGGUGAAAAGCUGUAGAGCGUUUGGUUGAAUUUAGAAAAAAAUGAUUGUUCUGAACUGAUUUUCUAAAGCUGUUUGGCAAAAAAUUUUUGAUGUUUGCAUAUAUUAAUAUUUUUACUAAAUUUUAUUUUAAAAUAAUUUAAAAUUUCAAUUUAAAUUAAAAUUUUAAAUUUAAUUAAAAGUAUAAUUUUUAAGUUUCAAACUUGUACAAAAAUAAAUUUGAAAUUUCAAAAUUUUAAAUUUAAAAUCUAAAUUUUAAAAUCUAAAUUUAAAUUUUCAAAUUUAAAAUUUAAAAUAUAAAAUUUAAAAUUUAAAAUAUAAAAUUUAAAAUUUAAAAUUUAAAAUUUAAAAUUUAAAAUUUAAAAUUUAAAAUUUAAAAUUUAAAAUUUAAAAUUUAAAAUUUAAAAUUUAAAAUUUAAAAUUUUUAAAUUUAAAAUUUAAAAUUUAAAAUUUAAAAUUUAAAAUUUAAAAUUUAAAAUUUAAAAUUUAAAAUUUUGAAAUUUAAAAUUUAAAUUUUAAAAUUUCAAAUUUUGAGAUUUGAAACUUAAAUUUUAAAUUUUAAAUGUAAAUUUUAAAUUUUAAAUUUGAAAAGUUGAGAUUUAAAAAUUCAAAUAUGAAUUUAAAAUUUCAAAAUUUAAAUUUAAUGUUAAAUUUAUACUUUGAAUCUAAAAUAAAAAUAAAAGUUAGAAGUUCGAGUUCAAAAUCAGAAUCAGUUUUGGAGAAGCAGCUUUUUUUUGCUUCUGAUUCUGGAGCCUUCAAAAUCAGUUUUCUGAUUCUAAAAAGCAGAAUCAGAUUUUCAGAAUGUUAUUCUCAAACACUCUACUGAGCUCAAAAGUAAUUUUGGGCUUAGAAUCACUUUUGAAUAGCUAGGCCAAACACCCCCUAAAAUUACUUUUUCAGAAAUCACUUUUUUAGAAGCUAGGCCAAACGGGCCCACUAUUCACUUCAACCUGAAUCCGCCAAACCGAAUCGGACUCGUUUACAAAUUUAAAAUUAAAAUUUUUUGAAUAAAUUAAUUUAACUAAUUUUUUUGAUAAUUAAGUAUAGUACUUAAGUAUCCACAUGUUCCGGUGGGUCGAUUUGUAAGAGAAGACGAAGAAGGAAGCAACAACGAUGAUAAAAAAAAAAAAAAAACAGUAAACGCAUAAUAAAAAGUAUUAUAAAAAAAUAAAAAAUAAAAAAUAAAAGAUGAAUACAAAUCAAAAGUGUCAUCAGUUACAAGUAUAAAUUAUUUUAGAGAUAAAGUUCAUAGGAGAAAUAAAGAUAUGAAAAAGAUAUUAUAUGAAUAUGACCUAAAACCGUUGCCUUUUUAUCAAUAAUUUUAGAAAAAUAAAUAAUUUGUUAAACACCAUAAGAAAUAAAAUCUUGUAGUGUUAAUUAGGUGCAUGAUGGUCGAACAAGCAUCCACUGCAACUAACAUUAGAUUCAUACUCAAGUUCCAAAGUACAACCAUCUGUAAAUAAUGGCGAAAGCACCGUAAGAAAUCAACAUGACAAAGAAAGGUUAGAAAAAGUAACUAAAGAAAAAAAAUGAUCAAUUAGUAGUAAUAACAACACCAACAGUAGUGAACAAACUAAAUAAAAAAAGAUGGAAAGGAGUUAGCACAAAAAGGUGUAAUAGAAAGUAGAGUCUCUCUACAAAACUGUCGACAUAGUAGCAAGAAUCAGACUGCAGAGAAUAAUACAUCAGCAGCUUGGACAAUAGGUAAGUUCUAUGUAGUCAAAAUUUAGCCAAGUGUGCUGCAACAAUUGCAUGAAGAAUGACCAGAACUACAAAAGUAUGAAAGAAGUUAAGAAGAAACUACAACUAUAACAAAAAGAAGAAAAAGAAGAAAAAGGAGCAAGAGUAGCAGAAACAAUAGUAAAGCACUAAAUAGAAAUAAAAUACCAAACAAUAGCGUAGGCAUACCAACAUAAAUUCGAUAUGCAGUAGAAACAAACGAGGAAGAAAAGUGAAUAUAAAAGCAGAAAAAGCUAUAGCAAUUUUAUUGAAAAUUAGAUUAUAAAAUUUUUGAGUAUUGUAAUGCCAUACUUAUAAGAUAAACAGUAAAGUUAUUUGUAAUAUUAUCAAUUAUGAUGAAUGAAAUCAAAAUGACCAAUAUCAAACUUCGAGAUUUGAUUGAACGAAAAAAAGGUUAGUACAUAAACACUACUAGUUGAAAUUUGCAGAAAGUAAGAAAUUUUGCAAUGCUAACAGAAAGCACAUAUUAAUGCCCAAGAAUAUAUGCUUCAAGCUACAUAGGGAACCAAUAGCAAUAGAUGCAUAAGAAGAACAAAAAAACUAGGUGCAGCACAAGAAGAAGCAACAACAGCCUUAGUGUUAGAAGUAGUAGUAGCCCCGGUAUUAGCAGUCAUAGCAACAAUUUAGUCAGCGAUGAAUGGAGAAGCUAUGGAAAAGAAAGAACAAUAAUUACACAAAUUUACCGACCGUCCCUAGAGCAAGUGGCAAAGGGCUUGGUGGUUGGUAUCCGAGACCCAAGUUCGAAUCCUAGUUGAUUCACAUUUUCAGCUAAGUUUAUUUCUAAAUAAAAUAAACGAAGCAGGUAGCAUGCUACCUAUCUCUCAAAAAAAAAAAAAAAAAAACACAAAUUUCUGAUUUCUGUUUAUUGAUUUUAGUUGUUUGUAAUAUUAAAGUUUACAAAAGUUUAACAAAUCGAGUAGAAAAAAAAGUGGUUAAAAUUAAAUCGGAAGGUGGAUUGUGUCAUUAUCUCUUCCACACACAUUUUACUUCGCAAUUUCUGUGGAAUAACAGUUGUAAGAGCUGCCAUUUGGCCAUUAGAUUUGUAUUACUAUUUAAACUUCUUUGGCCUUUUUAUUCAAACAGAAAAUUUGUUGUAUACUAUAAAGAUUAGAUCUCCCAGUAUUGCGUAAGUGCAUCAUAGGUAAGGAAGCAUCUAUUGCAGCUGUCGAGCCUGGAGAUUCAAAUCAACAACAGAAAUGACUUUUGGCAGAAACUAAAAUAUUUUGUAAGGUAAAUUUUACUAUAUAUUCAUUCAUAGUCUUUUAUAAGGCGGGUUUAUGGGUUUGUUGGUUUAUAUGGUGAUUUUAGUAGAUUGUGAACCCAAUCCCUUACCAAAUUGAACUUUGAAANGAAUUAACUAACUAUGCUCAUCGCUUGAACCUGAAUUAUUUUCCGAUCGAUACGGUUCAAUUUUAAAAAGUAAAAUAAAAAAAAAAUCAAAUAAGCUGAAUUAAAAAAUUAAAUUAUUAGCUAUUAUUAUUUUUGAAUAGAGUAAUAAAAUAAAAUGUACCAUACUUAUAAGUUCUAAUUUAAUUUUUAAAAAAAUUAUAUUAUUAAAAUCAAAUAAACUAAAGCAAACCAAAAUUAUUUGGUUUAGCAUCCAAUUCAGCUUUAUUCAAUUAUUAAAAAAAAAACCUAAAAAUUGAAACGUAUUUAGACAGCAACUAGUUAGGAAAAUUUUCUUUAUAAGCGUUUAGGAUUCAAACAACUCUAUUGUACAUCUUUGAGAUUUGAAAAGUCUAAAAAUGAAUAAUAGAAUAAAUUUAUUGCAACUAGUUUUGGUUCACGCUUCGCUACGGAUCGAUAGUAUUUGUAAUACUCGUAUCCAAUUAAAAUUUAAAUAUGCAGGUAUGAUUGUAGUUUUGUGAUAAACCUGUCAUUAAUAUUUUUUUGAUUUAUUUGUACCGUCGGAUUAAGCGGAUUUGAUUGGAUUUGAUUUUCAGAUUAAUUAUACUCUAAUACUAGUUAGAGUAUGAUUUAGAUUUAGCCCUAAUUAAUCACCUAUAAAUAGGUAAUUUAGGGAGAGUGUACGACCAAAAUAAUAAUAAUAAUAAAUAUUGUGGCCGGAUUCUUUGUCCAAGCGUGGCCGCCAGCGGGAGCAAGAUCCGACGAUCGUGGAGGAGAGAUAAAAAGAGCGAGAGCGAGGCGAGUCUCCAAUAAUUAGUUCUCUAGUUUUUUUUUCUCUCUCUUUUCUUUCUUCUUCUACCUCACCAUCUUAUCCUCUCUUCUCGUUGUACCGCCACCACCGUCGCCGGAGUGGUCGCCGGCCACCUGUAGUGGAUUCAGGUGAACCCUGUAUGGGGUGACCAUGGUUGGUCAUAAGAGGUGUCACGCCCCGCGACCAACCACCAAUUUGGACCGGGUAGCGGCGCCGCUAACAGACCGCCGAACGGACCGGGGUUUCCCCUGUACGCGGACAGAGUCUCCCCUGUACGUUCUAGGCGUCACAAUCCAAACAAUACAACGAGUGUUCCAACUAGGAACGGAUAACAAUCCAGAUUGCAAAGGAAGUAUCAAAUACAUAAAACUAACAGCUAUUACAAGCAUUCAUUCACAUUCACUUAGUACACCUCAGUUCAGUUUACAUUUUUACUUCCAAUUACAAUCACAUUAUUACGUCAUUUAAUUUACAAGUUUGAUACGUCUUGGUUCUUGCCUUCUAGUCCCCUAAGCUAGACUGCCUCAAGGNNNNNNNNNNNNNNNNNNNNNNNNNNNNNNNNNNNNNNNNNNNNNNNNNNNNNNNNNNNNNNNNNNNNNNNNNNNNNNNNNNNNNNNNNNNNNNNNNNNNGGUCUGGCAUUGGGAUUUUGGCGAGAUUUAGCUGCAGUUUAUUAUGAUCUUAAUGAUUGUAUUGGUCAGCUAACUAAUUGCCUAGGUCUCUAAACGCGGUCGGCGAAGACAGGUUUGCGUGGCACAGAGGGCGGGGGUUGCGGUUAUCGCGAGUCGGGUAUCGAGGUCGCUUCGCCGAGGAGUGUGAAGCCGCGUGCAAAGAUCGCAACAUCGAGUUAUCUAUUGGUUCGGCCGCUCGCAUAGGUGGGGUAGGAUGUCCAUCGCGAAGCUGGGCUCCUUCUUAGUCUUAGUACCACACUGUCGCAUAUCUGGACUCUUGUAUUUUUGCUCUAUAGGAACUUAUCAUGUGUUGCCUUAUCUUCUGCGCAUCCUUCGUCGAUGGCUAUCGAGCGUAAUUGGAUAUUUGUAUCAUUGGAUUGAUAAGGAUUUGGUCCUGAUUUGUGAUUAUAUGUAAAGGAAAUCGAUGAACUCAUAGAGUGAGGGGCAUCUAGUCAAUUAGUCAACCAUGACGGUGGCAUCUAGUGUAUCACACACACCAGCGAACAAACGCGACAAUCAUAGUUAAAUAGGAGGGUAAUGUGACAGCCUUAUGCGGACUGAUAUGAUAGACUGUGACUCUAGGAGACAGGGUAAUCCUCGAGCUUAGAGAGAUUUGUGAUCAUGUCACGAGUCUGAUUAAUUUGUGAGUGGGCAAGCCCACACAGGUAGGUGCGGUCCGGAUGUUGGGUCACGCGGGAUUAGGCCUAAUAUGGGCCCGCCAGCGGUCUCGCGAGUCCGGUAUGUGUCGAGGCGUUGAUGGUGCCCUGUAGCGUCGGAUCGGGGCUAGGUGAGACUGGGCGAGCUCGGGUAAGCGAUCAGAGGAUUAAUUGAACAGGUAAACAUGAUGGUUAUGGAACGAAGUGAAAGGGCUUCACCUUUGGACUUGAUGACAAGUUAAGUUGCGUUACCCAGAUUACACUUGGUCAUGCAUGCAUAGAUUAUGUUGAUGUAGAAUAGCUGUCAUUGUCGUUCGUUAGGCCCCCCCCCGCCGCGCACCACCUAUAUAUCUAUCUAUCUGUCUAUCCAUCUAUUGGUAUAUCUACUUGUGCCCGCUUGGACCUAGUGGGGAGAUCGGCGGAGUCGGCGGCCGAACCCACUGGGAACUAAGGAAGUUAGUUCUCACCCCCAUUUUUACCACAGGUUCCAGUUCGGGUGUCCCCGGUGAGCGUGAGGAUCGCGGUAAGGGCCCGGCGUUUUAGUAGCAUUAGCUACCUUCCUUUUUGCACUAGCCGUCACCCUUUUAUAUUUGAGAGUAGAUGAUGUAUAGGGUGAGGUUCGAGUGAUUGUAUUUAUAUUUUGGAAGAAUGUAAAAGAUGUAAUUGAAUGUAUUGAGUCAAAUGAAUGUAAUAGAUAGCUCUUCUCUCUUAUGUACUUGUAUAUGUUUCUAUACUUGUAUCUUGCUCUCGUCUUAUUAGCACUUGUUGUGCUCUUGUGAUUGUGUACUUAUGAGUUGAUUCCUGGGUAAACUCUUGUACAUGAUCGUUUGCUUAGCCUUGGGCGGACAGGGGAGACUCUGUCCGUUCGGCGUCUGUUCGACGCGCCCGGGCCCGAACCAAAUUGGUAGCGGUCGCGGGGCGUGACAGAAACCGAUACCAAUUUGGUCCAGUUCGGGCGCGUCGAACAGACGCCGAACGGACAGCACCUCCCCUGUCCGCCCAAGGCCAACAGCGAGAUCAUGUAAAACAAGUUCCUAGGAAAUCACUUGAAUACAUACAUGAUCACAUAACAACUAUGAGGGGAGCAGAAUCAGUGCUAAACAACUAAGAGCAAGAUACAAGUAUAGAACAUACGAGUAAUAAUAAAGAGAGAAGAGGCUAUCUAUUACAUUCAUUCAGCCUUUAUAAUACAACUUGAUUAUGCAUUAAGCUUCUAAACAUAAUAUAAAGCUUACAUCUUCUAAAAUAUAAACAUUAGCUUACAUUCAUCCCAAAAUAGCUCACAACCUAUACAUCAUCUACUCUCAAUGUAUAUAAAGGUAACUCUAGUGCAGAAAUAGGAAAGUAAACUAAUGCAACUAGGGCGCUAGGCCCUUACCGCGAUCCUCACCGCGUGAACUCGCGCUCGGCCCUGUAGUAAAAUGGGGGUGAGAACUAACUUCCUUAGUUCCCAGUGGGUUCGGCCGCCGACUCCGCCGAUCUCCCCACUAGGUCCAAGUGGGCACCAGUAGAUAAUUGAUAGAUAGAUAGAUAAGGAAAGCGGUAAAUGACAGAAGUAAAGGUACUCUACUAUGCCCAAUCAUAAAUAUAUGAAUGCAUGUACAAUGAAAUAGGUAAGCAACUAACCCAUUACCAUGUCCAAAGGUAAAGUCAUUUACUCGUUCAUCAAUCUUAUUUACUUGUUUCUUAAUCUCGUGGCUUCCCUGAAGGAGCCUACAGCUCACUAGCCAUCUCGAAGGUAGGGAGGGUCAACUCGCACUACGAACCGAGACCGUCUGCCGGGGCCUAAAAUAGGCAAUCCCUUGGGACCCAAACUAGGCAAUCCCACGUGACCAACUCCGGAGCGCACUACUUGUGUGGGGCUUCCAUCACAAGAUUUAAAACAGACCGUGAGCAUGAUCCAAUCCUCGUCUCGAGAAUACCCUAUCCUUUAGGGGUACAAUCAUCAUAUAGUCCAUAGGUUUCACAUACACUAUGACUCAUAUGUGUCAUUUGUUCUUUUGCUUACUAGCAACUAAAUGCCACUUGUUCAUUUGUUUGCUAUCGACUAGAUGCCACUCGUUCUUUGUUUAACAUUAGACCAACCGUCGAGCCCAUCUCUUUCUCUGCACUAUAGGAUUCACAAGUCUCGACCCAAUCCUUAUCGAUCCACUACUAUGUCAAGUAUCCAAUACAUGCUACGAUAUCAUCAAAGAAAGCAUAAGGAAAGGCAGUGCACAAUCAUCCUAUAAUGCAAUAAUACAAGAUGCAAGAAUCGACAUGUACUAAGACAUAGAAGGGAGCCCGAUUGCUUCGGGAUGGACACCACCCACCUUUUAUAGCGUUCCGAUUGCUCGUCGUCACUCGCAAUCGGCCUCCCGCGGCGCACGCCGCUUGGCUCGACCCAAUCCGCGCGCGCGACCACCAAACGACCUCCGAUCCGCGAUCCGAAAAUUAAAGGUCUUUGGUUUCCUAUUACGAUGCUUCAAAUCCGUUUCCAGGAUUUUACAACGUCGCCUCGGCCCUCCAGGCAGAAACGAAGCCUAAACGUCCGUUUCUUUAAUAACUUUGCACCGGCUAGACGAAUCGCCGAACCGUCGCUUCCAACGCGUUCAGUGACCUAUCAAUUAGGUUUCCAGAGGGUUAAAUGAGAUCAAACCCUCAUAUUUUCAAAAAUUGCAUUUCAAGCCCUAGGUUUAUAACUAGGUAAGAAUUAAUUAAAUUGAUCCUAGAUUCUAGCAAUAAUCAUCUAUUUAGCAUGCUAGAAUAGCUCUAAAUCCAUUCUUGAAGCUUAAAACCCAAACUACAAAGAGAUACCAUUAAAGGGUUUUGAAGCUUACCUUCAAACCAUGCUCCAAUGGAGAGGAAGAAGAUGGAGAAGAUGGAAAUCCACCUUAGAGCUUCAAUCUCCACCAAAAUCAUCUCUUUUUGGGAGAGAUUUAGAGAGAGAAAGGAGAGCUUUCUCCUUUCCCUUCCAUGCGUGUAUGGGUGUGUGUGUGUGUGUCGGUUUGGGGCUGCUACGGCUGAGGAAGAAAGGGAUUUGAUCCCUUUUUACGAGUUAGCCCCUCAACUAUGCAAUCCUUCAAUUUAGUCCCUAAAUCUGAUAAGUUUCGUUGGAGCCCUUCUGGAUGUCCGAUUGAGCUCAAAUUUGACAGGCAUGCUCAGUUUAACGUACUGAGCAAGAAUAUAUCUUAAGUUUUCAGUUUCGACCCCGUUUGGUCACCGAAAACUGUGCCGAACUGCAAUCUUUAUCAGAUAGCCUUCGGAUUUUAUUUCUCACUCUACGGGUGUCAGAAAAAUAUGAAACCUUAAAUCUAGCCUCAUAAAAAUAUUCCUGACUUAUUCUCUAAUUUUCAUAAUUUUCUGAGACUGCAUUUUCUGCUAAUUUUUCUGUCCCGUUUCCAACAGAAAAUUUCAGAUCUUCUGUUUUCAUCCCGAUUUCAGCACAAGUCACUUCUGACUUAUGUUUUACUUCUCUAAAUCCAAUAAAAUAGUAUCUCAUACUAUUUUUAUUUAUUUAUUUAUUUUUUAUUUUUAUAUUUAAAUCCGGUAUGUUACAUUACACCGCAACCUUCCCGGAACCAUUCAAAUGGCUCUCCAACCAAAUGGACACCGUAACCUCAUGAUUUUCGAAGUCCGAUACCCUACAUCCUCCCCUCCUUAAAAAGAGUUUCGUCCUCGAAACGAACUCAAUAUUGCAAAACUUAUUUAGAACUUUAAAUUCUAAACUCAUACCUUGACUUAAUCCUCGAACAAGUGAGCAUGAUUCGCCUUCAUCUCCUCCUCAAGCUCCCAGGUGGCUUCGCGAUCGUCAUGAUUGCUCCACCGAACUCGGACAUAAGGAAUUUUCCGAUUCCUUAACUUGCGCACUUCACGAGCAGUAAUCGCCACCGGAAACUCCUCAUAACUUAGGUCUUCCUGAAGCUCCGGUGGUUCGUAUAACAUUGCAUGCUCGGGAUCAGGUAUGUACUUGCGCAAAUUGGAGACGUGGAACACGUUGUGCACAUCCGCUAGUUUUGGAGGCAACGCGAGCCGAUAAGCCACCAUUCCAAUCCGUUCCAAGAUCUCAUAGGGGCCAAUAUAUCGGGGACUUAAUUUUCCCCGAACUCCAAAUCGCUUAACGCCCCUCAUAGGCGAAACCUUCAAGAAAACGCGGUCGCCCACCGCGAAUUCCAAAUCCCGUCGGCGCCUAUCCGCGUAGCUCUGUUGUCGAGAUUGCGCAGAGAGUAACCGCUUCCGAGCAAGGCGGACCUUUUCUUCCGCCUCCCGCAACACAUCGGGGCCAAAUUCCGUGCGCUCGCCCACGUCACUCCAAUAAAUAGGAGAGCGGCACUUCCGCCCAUAAAGAGCUUCGAACGGUGCCAUCUCCACGCUAGCGUGAUAACUGUUGUUGUAGGCGAAUUCGGCCAUUGGCAAAUACUUACACCAACCUCCUUUGUAAUCGAUGACACACGCUCGCAACAUAUCCUCCAGAGUCUGAAUAGUCCUCUCGAUUUGUCCGUCUGUCUGGGGAUGGAAUGCAGUGCUAAAAUCGAGCCAUGUGCCAAGGGCCUCCUGUAGGCUUUUCCAGAAAUGUGAAGUGAACUUGGGGUCUCUAUCCGACACAAUCGAUUUCGGCACCCCGUGCAACCUCACUACCUCGUCAAGAUAUACCCCACGUGUGACGCUCUAGAUGUGACUGGUGUUUUCAGACUUUAUAGAUAAAUGGGUCUUCCUCAAUUUGUACGCCGUCUCCGCCACCGAUCUCGAUAAUUUCCUAAUGCUACAGCUGUAAGAGAUGGUGGGACCGUUUCGUUUACACCAACGCCUACGCAAAUCGUCCUUCAGCCGCUUCUUGGAGCGAAAACUACAAUGGGCCGUUUGUGGGGAUCCCGACCUCUACCUCGCUGACCUGGAGCUUCACCAGCGAGGGCUCCAGGGCCGAGUCGACUACCGCGAGCAAUAAGUUGGCUGGAAUAACCUCUCCUAGUCUUUAAACGUUGGACGUCUAGGCUCAGAGGUUUUCCACGCCGCGUUGUAGCUCCUUCCUGCUCUACCGNUAAAGUCACACCUGCGGCCACCGCGCGAGGCCAAAGCUUUGGCCACCACGCACGGGCUCUUACUUCUCGAAGCGCUCAACUAGAACGUCCUUCGGGUGGCCAGAGGUAUGCGCCUAGUGGGCCCGCCGUGGUUCUACAUAGUACUCAAUUCUCGUGAGAUAACCACCGGCCCCUACUAUCGACUAUAACCCGCGAAGCACCGCUUCACAAACUGAACAGUCGUUCACUUUCGCCUCGCGGCCAAAGGUCGCCCUUUCGAAGUUUCAGAUGGAUAAGGACAGACCUUUACCCUCCUAUAUAGAUACCUAAAGUAGCAACCGAAUGGAGCGAGCUGUCCCCCUGUGCUGCGUUAGACCCACUAACACCUAGCGAACUGCUUCAGUCGCGUGAAAAAUGGCUAGGUGUGGUGGACCCGCCCUCUAUUCAACCGCGUNGGUAGUGCCUCCACAACUUCAGCGCAAAGAUCACCGCCGCCAACUCCAAGUCAUGGAUGGGGUAGUUCUUCUCGUGGUCCUUCAGCUGACGGGAUGCAUAAGCUAUCACCCUCCCGCCUUGCAUCAGAACACACCCCAAGCCCAGAUAGGAUGCAUCGCUAUAGACCACAAAGUUCUCGCCCUGCACUGGUAAGGCGAGUAUCGGAGCCGACGUCAAUCUUUUCUUCAAUUCGUUGAAGCUUUGAUCACACUCGUCGCUCCAAAUGAACUUGACGCCCUUCUGAGUCAAACCGGUAAGUGGAGUUACAAUUUUCGAAAAGCCCUCCACAAACCGUCGAUAAUAGCCCGCUUAGCCCACAAAGCUUCGGACCUCCGUGACGUUUGUCGGGCGUGGCCAAUUCUCGACCGCUUCGACUUUCCUCGGGUCAACCGAAACACCGCCCUCGAAAAUCACAUGCCCCAAGAAGGCAACCUCUCGAUGCCAGAAAUCGCAUUUCUUUAGCUUUGCGAAUAGCUUCUCCUCCCGAAGGAUUUGAAGCACUAUCCGCAAAUGCUCCGCGUGUUCCUCAUCGUUUCGCGAAUAGAUCAAGAUGUCGUCUAUGAAAACCACGACAAAUCGGUCCAAGCACGUUUUAAACACACGGUUCAUUAGGUCCAUGAACGCUGCCGGGGCAUUUGUGAGCCCGAAAGGCAUAACCGUGUACUCAUAGUGUCCAUAACGUGUACGAAAUGCGGUCUUCUGAAUAUCCUCCGACUUAAUCUUUAACUGAUGGUAGCCGGAUUGUAGAUCUAUCUUCGAGUACACUCGUGACCCCUGUAACUGAUCAAAUAAAUCAUCGAUUCGGGGCAACGGGUACUUAUUCUUUAUCGUGACCCUAUUCAACUCUCGAUAGUCCACGCAGAGUCGAAAUGAGCCAUUCUUCUUGCGCACGAACAACACCGGCGCUCCCCACGGCGAUACGCUCGGCCGGAUAAACCCUUUGUCGAGAAGAUCUUGUAACUGGUCCCUCAAUUCCCUUAACUCUGCCGGCGCCAUACGAUAUGGGGCUUUCGAGAUUGGCGUCGUCUUCCGAAUCAAGUCUAUAACGAACUCGAUCUCCCGAUCCGGCGGCAUCCCCGGUAACUCCGUGGGAAAUACAUCCGGAAAUUCCCGCACCACCGAUAAAUCCUCUAAUUUCGGCACCACCCGGUCCACCUCCACGACGGUUGCCAAAAAUGCUACGCAGCCGCCGUUGACCAACUUCCUAGCUCUCGUCGCCGAUACUGUCGCGACGAAGCAAGAACUCCGACAAGCUCGAUAAACGACCUCCUUCUGUCCUGGCUCCCGAAAGGUGAUCGAUUUAUUCUUACAAUCGAUCGUGGCAUAAUACUUUGAGAGCCAGUCCAUGCCCAAAAUGACGUCAUACGCCUCCAGUUUAGUGAGUUCCAACAUCCGGAUGGGCAUCAUCCAGUCACCUACUUGUACUAGGCAUGACGAGCACUCCGUGUAGGUAUUAAACGACGAUUCAGGACCCUCGACUCGCCACUUGCCACUUGCUUCUAUGGGUAUGUCAUGCAUGCGUGGCACCCGUAUCGAACAUAGCUCUGGAGCGAACUCCAUUGAUUAGAACCAUACCUGCUACAACAUCAGGCUCCUCGGCUUGGGCGGGCCCCUCAGCAUGGGCUUGAGCGGCGAAUACCCGUCCGCUCGGCGCUGAUCGAGUCACCUCCGGCUGGUGCGGCGCCAGUGCGCGUCCCGCCGACACAGGAACAUACGGGGCCCCUCCUUGAUAAGGCGAGGGCGCUGGAGUCGAUGCGACUGACGGAGUAGACGAGGCCCUUGCCGGACAGUCGCGGCUGACGUACCCUUCUUGUCCAUAAUUAAAGCACCGCCCUUGUCGUUGUCUACACUGCGGUGCCCGAUGGCCUCGAUCUCCAUAGAUAGGGCAACGCUGCGGCCCACGGCCCCAUGACUGCGACGGCGGAUACUUCGGGGGCCUCCUUGAACUCGAUUGUCCCCCCGAACUGCCGCCCGAUUGCUUCUUCCCCUUGUCUGGGGAUCCGGUCAACAACUCACGCUCCUCCCGCACAUGGGCAUCUCCAUGCUCUGCCCACAGCGCCUUAUUGAAAACCUCAGCGAAAGUUGUGAGCUGGAACAAUUGCACUGCCCGAUAUAUCCAUGGCCGAAGUCCUCGCAAGAACCAUUCGGCCCGAUCCGCGUCAUCCUUGACCACGUCUGGGACACAGUCUAUAAUGUGGGAGAACUCCUGCUCAUAGUCCGCCACGGAGCGAUCCCCCUGUCUCAAUUUGCGAAACUUUUCCUUUAGCUUCCACUUCUCGGUGUCGGGGAAGUAAUUUCCAAACACUUCCCUCUUCAACUCAUCCUAGAGCAUUGGUGGAAGGUCAGAGGGUCGAUCUCGCUUCAACCGCUUCCACCACACCUUCGCCGCCUUGUCAAGGCAAUGGGUGGCGAAAGGCACUUUAUCCUUCUCCGAGGUGUAUAGGUCCUCGAAGAGGGUCUCCAUAGAGUCAAUCCAAGACUCCACCACCGAUGGCUCCACUUUCCCCCCUUCAAAAGUUGGUGGCUUAAACUUCAUAAACUUCAUUAGAGCCGUCAACGCACGCUCCCGCUCCACUUCGUCGGCCGUCGUAUCAAGUAUCGCCGAACCUGAAGCUGUCGGAGGCGCAUUUGCCGGCGGGGGAACUGCUGCCAUCGGAACUGCCGCUAUGCCCUCACCCUCGGUCGCUACCAGCGCGCGUGCCGAAGGUGCGGGCGGAUCGUGAUCUCCAGCCGCUGUCGCGGCCACCGCUGCUGCCGCUUGCCGCUCCACAAAUCCCUGGAGCUGCUCGAAUCGAGCCUCCUGGCGCUGCAUCGCGCCCAACAUUGCAGCGACCUGCUCCCGCAGCUCCUGCACUUCCUCCGAUCUUGUCUGCUCGGGCUCCGCAGAAGGCGGUACCGGAGCAGACCUAUGCACGUAACGCCUCGGGGACAUUUGCUCCUGAAAAGCAACGACUCGGUUAGUUAUCUUAAUCCGAUAACUUUUUCAACGCUCACGAAAUUAAACGACUCGACAGUGAAAUCGGGCGGAAGCUCACAAGUGUUCCAGUUCUGGACUCUUAGCGUCGCGUCGUCGGCCGCCGACACAACCACGACGAGCCGAGAAACUAGUAUCACUUGGAUCCGUCUCUAUUCACAGCUAGAGACAUGACAUAAGUUCUGGACUCUUAGCGUCGCGUCGUCGGCCGCCGACACAACCACUACGAGCCGAGAAACUAGUAUCACUUGGAUCCGUCUCUAUUCACAGCUAGAGACAUGACAUAAGUUCUGGACUCUUAGCGUCGCGUCGUCGGCCGCCGACACAACCACUACGAGCCGAGAAACUAGUAUCACUUGGAUCCGUCUCUAUUCACAGCUAGAGACAUGACAUCAACUUUGACCCAAUCGAUCAACUUCCGCCAUCGCCAUGAGUUCACGUUCACUCACGUCCCUAUAACCUUAGGGUUUACCGACCUAGUGUCUCCUAGGUCAUCCUAGACUCUCUCUUUACUUGCUCUGGUGCUCUGAUACCACUUUGUGACGCCCCAGCUUCCCAGGGGGUCACCCAUCCUAGGACUACUCCCGUCCUAGCACGCUUAACUCUCUUAACCUCUUGGGCCUUGCCACCACCCAAAAUGCUUAAGCCGGGUUAAAAGUUUAGCCCUAUUAUAUCUUAUAUAUAGGACUACCCGGGGUCUCACACCUCAAGUGAAAAACCCUCUCUUAAUCUUCAAAUGGGAAGUAGAGGUUUUCCAAUCUAACUUAUAUAAAGGUUCUAAACCAUUCCAAUAAGAUCAAGAAGCCUCAAAUUAAGAAUCCCAAAAUCUAACCCUAAAAUCCAAAAUCUAGGGUUUAAACAAGCAAAAUGCCCCAAAACUAAGAUCUAGAGGAAGGAACCUUGCCACUUACCUCUAGGAUGCUCCAAUCCAAGCUCAAAAUCUUCUAGGGUUGAAGAUUGAUCCACCACAAAGUUCCAAAAGCAAGCUCCAAGCCUCCAAAGGUGAGAAAUGAGGAAGAAGAUGGUGCUCCAAAGCCUCCAAGCAAGCUCCUCUCCUCUCCUUCUCCUUCUUCUCCUUCCCUUUCUCUCUCUAGAAGUGUAAGGAGAGUGUGAGGGAGAGAAAAUGAGAGUGAGAGGGGGUAGAGAGGCUGCCAAAAGCCUCUAAGGUAACAAAAUCCACUUAGGCCUCUCAAAAAUCCACUCUGUGCACUGCCCGGUCUGGGCCGCUCACGCGCUGAGGGACCGGUCUCUCCCUGCCAAGGACCGGUCUCUAGGCUCGUCCAGCAAAACCAGCGUUCGGGAACCGGUCUCUCACAGCCAGGGACCGGUUGCCUCAAGCCCUGUCGCAGCACUGUGCUGAGGGGACCGGUCUGUCAUAUCAGGGACCGGUCCCCGAGAGUGAAAACUCUCAGGACUUGCCAAAACUCUAGAGAUCGAACUUUUAGGCCGGUAUACAUCGACGGCCCUCCACCAAGUGUGGAAAAGUUCGAAAUACAUAUCGAACACUCGAACCUCGCAAUUUGCAAAGGUCCAGUGUGCUACAUUCAUCCCUCCUAAAAAGGAGUUUCGUCCGCGAAACUCGAAUACUAACAUACCUCAAAACUCCGUCUGAAAAAGAUGGGGAUAGUGCUCCCGCAGCGCACUCUCUAGCUCCCACGUGGCCUCCCGCUCCCCAUGGUUGCUCCAAAGAACCUUCACGGACGGAAUAUCCCGGUUUCACAGUUUCCGCACCUCGCGGGCCAAAAUCUUCGCUGGGUCGAAGACAUACUUCCGAAGGACCGAUACAUGAAAGACGUUGUGCACGCCGGAUAGGUUCGGUAGUAGAGAAAGUCGAUAUGCUACCGGACCCACACGUUCCAAGAUCUCAUACGGUCCAAUGAAACAGGGGCUCAACUUACCCCGAAUCCCAAAUCUCUUAAUCCCUCUAGUCGGCGAAACUUUCAAGAAAACAUGGUCUCCAACUUGGAACUCCAAGUCUCGCCGUCGUCGAUCGGCGUAGCUCCUCUGUCUACUCUGCGCCGUCAAAAGUCGCUCCCGAGCAAUUCAAACCUUGUUCUCAGCUUCCUGGAGCACGUCGGGGCCUAAUGCGAAUCUCUCACCGACUUCACUCCAAUGAAGUGGCGAUAUACACUUCCGUCCGUAAAGUGCUUCGAAGGGCGCCAUCUUGAUGCUUGCUUGAUAACUAUUGUUAUAAGCAAACUCUGCCAUCGGUAGAUGCUGCAACCAUCCUCCCUGGAAGUCAAUCACACAUGCUUGGAGCAUAUCCUCUAAAGUCUGAAUAGUGCGCUACGACUGUCCAUCACUCUGCGGGUGGAAUGCUGUACUGAAAUCCAGACGAGUGCCUAAGGCGUCCUGCAGACUCCUCCAAAAGCACGACACAAAUCAGGUGUCUCGAUCCGAUACAAUCGAUGUAGGCACUCCAUGAAGUCGCACAAUCUCAUCGAGGUACACUUGUGCGAGCUUCUCCCCAGUCCAAGUUGUAUGAAUAGGUAUGAAGUGUGCCGACUUCGUCAACCUAUCCACGAUCACCCAAAUAGCAUCUUGCACGGCCUGCGAGCGGGGCAAUCCUGUCACGAAAUCCAUGGUGAUCUUCUCCCACUUCCAAACGGGAACAGGCAAACUAUGAAGUUUUCCCGCGGGAACGCGAUGCUCAGCCUUUACUUGUUGGCAAGUUAGACAACGAGCUACAAACUCGCCAACGUCCUUUUUCAUCCUGGGCCACCAAUAAAGCAACUUUAAAUCCUUAUACAUCUUGGUGCCACCCGGAUAUAUAGCGUAGGGCGCUCGGUGCGCUUCUUGAAGAAUAUCCUCUUUAAUUCCCGAAUCCGUCGGUACACAAAUCCGUCCACAGAAAUGCAUCAAUCCUUGAUCAUCCACAAGGAGUCGCCGGUGCAACCAUUAACCAUUUUACCUUUAAUCCUUUGCAACUCUACAUCGGAAGCUUGCUUUUCUUUAAUUUUAUCCAAUAAUGUAGGUUGCACCACCAACGUCAUCAACCUCAAAGGCGUGUCAGGAGUCACCACCUCCAACUCAAACCGCUUCGUCUGCUCGAUCAACUGCGGUGGAGUAACUAAAUGCAUUGCUAAGUUUUCCGUCGAUUUCCUACUUAGCGCAUCUGCCACCACAUUAGCCUUGCCCGGGUGGUAAAGAAUCGUUAGAUCAUAAUCCUUGAGUAGCUCCAACCAUCUGCGCUGUCUCAAGUUCAACUCCUUCUGAGUAAAGAGGUACUUUAAGCUCUUGUGAUCCGUGUACAUUUCACACCGCUCGCCAUAAAGAUAGUGGCGCCAUAGCUUCAAUGCGAACACUACGGCCGCCAACUCCAAAUCAUGCGUCGGGUAGUUCUUUUAAUAUUCCUUUAGUUGGCGAGAAGCAUACGCGAUCACCUUGCCAUCCUGCAUCAAUACACAGCCCAAUCCAUUAAGUAACGCAUCACUAUAUACCAUAUACCCUGCUCAAGCUACUGGUAGGGUUAAGAUCGGGGCGGUCGUCAAUCUCUGCUUCAACUCUUGGAAGCUUCGCUCGCACGCAUUAUUCCAAAUAAACUUGAGUCCUUUAUGCGUGAGCCUCGUGAAGGGAGUGGACAACUUAGCAAAUCCCUCAACAAAUCUCCGGUAGUAACUGGCCAAUCCAAGGAAGCUCCGUAUCUCCGUGACGCUCGUCGAUCUCGGCCAACCCUUGAUAGCUUCAAUCUUCUUGGGAUCCAACGCAAUAUCUAAUCCUGAAAUCAAGUGUCCAAGGAAAGCUACCUCUCGAAGCCAAAAUUCACAUUUCUUCAUCUUGGCGUAAAGCUCCUUUUCCCGAAGUACUUAGAGUACAAUUCUCAAAUGCCCCUCGUGAUCUGCAUCACUUAGAGAGUAGACCAAAAUGUCGUCGAUGAACACCACAACGAACCUGUCUAGAUAAGACUUGAAAACACGGUUCAUUAAAUCCAUAAAAGCUGCCGUGGCAUUAGUCAGCCCAAACGGCAUAACUGUGAACUCAUAGUGUCCAUACCGUGUUCUGAAAGCGUCUUCGAUACAUCCUCGGGUUUGAUCUUCGGUUGGUGGUAUCCAGACUGCAAGUCAAUCUUGGAAUACACACACGAUCCCUGAAGCUGAUCAAACAAGUCGUCAAUUCUCGGCAACGGAUACUUGUUCUUGAUCGUGACUUUGUUGAGUUCACGAUAGUCCACACAUAGGCGAAGUGAUCCGUCCUUUUUCUUGACGGAUAUAACUGGCGCUCCCCACGGCGAGACGCUUGGUCGAAUGAAGCCCUUGUCCAACAGAUCCUGUAGCUGUGCCCUCAGCUCCUUCAGUUCCGCCGGUGCCAUCCUAUAGGGUGCCUUCGAGAUUGGGGUAGUCCCAGGGACAAGAUCCACCACAAAAUCAAUCUCCCUAUCAGGAGGCAUGCCCGGAAGCUCAGCUGGAAACACAUCCUGGAACUCCCGCACCACCGGAAUAUCCUCGAUCCUAGGGGUGUCAUCCUCGCCCCUCAUCACAACACUAGCCAAGUAGGCUACACAUUCUCGGCUGAUCAGCUGCCUAGCUCGAGACGAGCUGAUCGACAUCGCGAAAAGCGAACUCCAGCAUCCUUUAAACACAACCUCAGUCUGCCCCGGUUCUCUAAAGGUAACCGUGCGAUUCUUGCAAUCUAUCGUGGCAUAAUAUUUGCUCAACCAAUCCAUGCCCAAGACCACAUCAAAAUCCCCCAGCUUGCGCAAAGCUAGCAAAUCUACAGACAUGAUCCAAUCUCCUACCCGAAUAGGGCAACUGGGGCAAUACUCUCUAAUAUCCAGAACGUGGUCGGGUACAACAACAUGUCCCGUGUGCAACAAAGGAACCAAUGGAAUGCCAUGCAACUCGGCAAACAGCCGAUCUAUAAAUGAAUGCGAUGUACCGGUAUCAAAUAAAGUACGAACUCUAAUGCCAUCAAGUAAAAUGAUACCUGCAACCACAUCCUCGGCUGCUGCCGCCUCCUCGGUCUGAGCGGCAUACAAGCGUCCACUCGGGGCCUGCCGAAACCCCUCGCUCUGCCGCUGGACGGUUGGCCGCCCAGGCUGGUACUGUGUCGACGGAGUCCCCUGACUGGCGGCUGGUAGAGCCGGUGCCGAUGCAGUCGACGGUGCGGGUGAAGAACCUCUCGGGCACUCAGUCCGCACGUGGCCCUCCUGACCACAUUGGAAGCACCUGCCCGCCCGCUGUGGACACUACGGUGGGUGAUGAGGACCACCACAGAUCACACACGGGGAGGGCCGGCGUCGAUCAUAGCCUCCUCGCUGAGCUGUUGAGCCGCGUCCACGUUGCUGGCUCUUCGGAUGCUUCGGCGACCUCCUAGAGUGCGUCUGGCUCGCACCCUCAGCCGCAGGCCUCUUGGCCUUGCCCUUGUCCAUGGCCUCACGCCGCUCCUGUACCUCUGCCGCGCCGCUCUCCACAAUGGCGCGCGAUCCACCACCUCCCGGUAGGUUUGCAGGUUAGAGGAUUGCACAAACCGGAAGAUCGACGGUCGCAACCCUCGCUCGAAGAUGCGGGCCUUGUCCUCGUCGUCCCGCACGAUGAAAGGCACGCAGUGUAGAAGCCGAGAAAACUCCCUCUCGUACUCGGCUACGGUGCGGUCUCCCUGGCGCAAGCUGUGCAGAUCCUGCUCCAUCUUCCUCUUGACGCUGGUCGGGAAGUAAUGCGCCAAAAUAAGCUCCUUCAACUUCUUCUAUGUGAUAGCUGCUAAAUCAGUGCUUGGGUUCUCCUGGAGAUCCAACCACCAGCGAGUGGUGAGUAGCGAGCCAAACUCGAUCCCUCUCCUCCACGAAGGUGUCGCGGAAGAGCUUCUCCAUAUGUAUCAACCACUUCUCCACGAUCCAGUGGUCGACCUUUUUGCCGUCGAAAACUCGGGGACUACACCUCCUGAACUCAUUGAGGCGCUCCAUCAGUCUGUCUCGCUCUGCCCCCUCGACCAAGGUAGGGAAUGCAGCUCCCACCGGGGGCCUUUAAACAGGUGGUGCCACCAAAACCUCCUCCUUGGGUGCGGCCACAGGUGCCGCACACGAAGAACUGGGCGCGGGGGAUGGCGCUCUCGGUGCAACGUCCACAACGGGUGCUGGCGGUGUAGGGCCCUGCGUCUCCCUAGAAGCUGCUGCCUGUUGCAGGAGUAGAUCCUCCAGGAGCUUCAUCCGCGCCUCCUGUCGGUGCGCCGCCUCAGUCUGCUGUCGGGAUGCCUCCGCCUGCUGAGUGACUAAAUCGGUGAGGGCCGCAAGCUGGCCCCUCAACUCACGGAUCUCGCCAGAUCUGGAUGUAGCGGAGGUCUUGACCUCCUCAAAGUUCGCCACAUUGUCCGCCUCGGCAUAUUGGGAGCGAGUAAUCGGCAUCAUCACUACAAAACAUCAUAAAAGCACAAGUUAGCAAAAACCGAUGCUAUCGCAUCCCCGCUCAAAGAUAAUACCCAAAUCAGGCAAAAAUAAGGAAGUGUGCUUCACUACUAACUCCCGACGUUACGUUGUCGGCCGCCAACGUAACCCUCUGUGAAGUUAGAAGCUAUACACUUCAAUUCAACUCUAACUUUUUAGAGUUAUCAAGAUACCCAAUCAAGGUACUUUCGCUCACAAAUCAAAUAGACCUCGUCUCUCACGAGCCUAUUUCCUAUAGUCCAACCGGCCUAAGGUUUGCUAGGUCCCCUGAGACUCAACCCUAGGCUCUGAUACCAAAUUAAUCUGUCACGCCCCGGGACCCAGCGGAAGCCCGCCCGGCACGUGCCCAGACCCGCCAUACGUCUAAAACAUAUAAGGCGUCUAAAACAACGAUAAUUAAAGCAAGAAUAAAAGAUAUCUAGGAGUAUCAGAGCAUGAUAUAAGACUAAGUUCUACAAUAGAGAAAGGAACAUAAAGCAGGAAUUCACUAAUAAAAGCAUAAGGUAAUACAAAGGAGAUCCCAAAUACAAGUGCUCAAAGUAGUGUAACGCACUGGACCUUUGCAAAUUGCGAGGUUCGAGUGUUUGGAUGUAUUUCGAGCUUGCCCACACUUGGUGGAGGGUUGUAAAAUGUUUUCCGACCUGAAAAGUUCGAAAACUGGAAUUCUGGACAAGUCCUGAGAGUUUUUGCUCUCGGGGACCGGUCCCUGGAAGGAGAGACCGGUCCCCCAGUGAGCAGUGUUGAGGCAGCCUGAGGCAACCGGUCCCUGGCAGGCGAGACCGGUCCCCGAGCGCGUCUUCGCAGUGAGAGACCGGUCCCGCGCAGGGAGAGACCGGUUCCCGAACGCUGGUUUUUCGGGUUCGCAGCGAGAGACCGGUCCCUGCUGGGGAGAGACCGGUCCCUCUGGGCGAAAACUGCCCAGUUCGGGCUGAUGUAAAUUUGAGUUUUUGAGGGGCCUCUCCGGAUUUUGUUACACUAGAUGGGCUUAUUAGCCAUUUCCUCCUCUUCCCUCUCUCAUUCUCUCAUUCUCACCCUCUCCCUACACUUUCUAGAGAGAGAAGAAGAAGAAGAAGGAGGAGAAGAAGAAGAGGAGCUAGCUUGAGGGAGCUUGGAGCUCAACCCCUUUCUCUCUUUUCCACCUUUGCAAGGCUUGGAGCUUGCUUGUAGAGCUUGGUGGUGGACCAAUCUUCAACCCUAGAAGAUUUGGAGCUUGUUUGGAGGCAUCUUGGGAGGUUAGUACUUGGAUUCUACCCUUUGAUCCUUGAUUUGGUAGAUUUUACCAUAUGAAACCCUAGUUUUGGGUAUUAGGGUUGAUUUUUGGGGCUUUUUGAUCUAGGGCUUUUGGGGCUAAAUUGAUUGGUUUAGAACCUUCCUUGGGCUUGGAUUGGAAGGGUUCUAGCUCUCUUUUGGAGCUUUAGAAGAGAUUUCUUCUCUUGAGGUGAAUUUUGGCCCUAUUUGCUUCUAGAUUGAUGUUUGAUCUCAUGGUUGGUCGUAAUACUCUCGUAUCUCUUCGCUGAUCACUUUUAGGGUAUCUUGAGGCUCGUGGACAACUCCGUUCGACGAAUCGAAGGAGCACGCGACGGUUCGGUGGGUUUGGCCUAGCAUACAAUAUGAGAAAUGCUCAUAUUUGGUGUUAAAUGUUUCGUAAAGUUGAAAUUCUUGCAUUUUCAUGUUAAAUGUAUUUAUUAUGAAUUUUAGAAUGCUUAACAUGCAUAGGUUAUGUGUAGUAAAUUUUGGGACCUCUAUAUAGUAGAGAGCAUGCAUGUGUGGCCUAGCAUUCUAGUUGAGACUUGAAAUUAUAAUCCCUAUUAUGAAAACGAACCUUGCUUUCAUGCAUUCAAACUAUAUACCAGAUGUGACAUUAGGGAUUUUUGGAAGCCUAGAGAGGCUUAGGGACUUAGAUGAUAUGUGAGAUUGGGCCAAUGUCAUGAAGAGGCAUUGGGGCCCGGGGCAUAGUGAGCAUUAAUGUUAAUGUCUUAAUUGGAACAUGAUUAGUUGUGGAGCUUAAGUGUCAUAAAGAGGCACUAAGCAAGUGUGUGUUGGGACUUCACAUUAUGACUUUGAACUAGAUCUUCGGGAUGCUAGUGACUAUACCAUGUUAGAGACAUGAGGAUUGGGUACUUGAGACAGUGACCUUGCUUGUUUGCCAUUUGUGCUCAUUCGCACAUGCUUGUGAGGGUCGCUCCCCACAAGCCGGCACUCCGGAGUUGGCCUAUGCGACUUUUGUUCGCUCGUGCGGUAUUGAGACGCCUACGGGGUCGAGUGGGACAGACACAUUCCAUGUGUAGGAAUGUCGGGCUACCACAGGCACUUAGGCGGCACAAGCCGGACUACCUUGGGUAGAUCCUUAAUUGGAAAUGUAAAUCGACACGGUUUGAGAAUGAAUGAUCACUACUAGAUAGGCUUAGUAGUUGGAUUACAUUUACAUGCUUUUAGCAUAGUGUGAGACAUGUAGUAUACUUGGUUGCCAUGAUAGGACUCCUAUAUCAUGUAUUGACAAAGGUUAACAACAUUAAACUAGUGCCAUUGGACUUAAUUGCAAUGAUAGAAUAGAUAUACAUUUUGGUUGACAUCAUGCUUACUUGAGACACAGUAGACUAGCAUUUCAAAUAUGCUUUCUUUCAGCAGUGUAUUUACAUGCUCCUUAUUGCUUAUUAUUAUUAUUAUCGUUGCUUACCCUUAUUUUUAGGGCCUAGUGGAGCAUGAGCUGAGGUCAGUAAUUGCCCACUGGGAACUAUAAAUUAUAGUUCUCACGCCCUCUUUUUCUCGAUGUUUUUCAGAGCCUUCCACUCAGGGUGAGGCCAGGGAUCGCGGGAAGGGAGUUGCUUCGAGCUAGCUUCCUUCGAGAACGAGUUGCUAGGUGGUCUACCUCUCGAUUUUUAUUUCUUUUUGCGAGAGGUUGAGAGUUUUACCAGUGUACUAGAGACCACCACUUUUGUAUUUUGGAGAUAGAUUUUGUACUACUUGUUUUCUUUCAUGUAUUAGUUAUGUUCUAUUACUAUUGGUGUAGAUGUUAUAACUUUACUCGCUCUGAUAUCAUUAGUUGCUAGUUAUUUCACUUCUUUUAUUUGUUCCAUCUCUUGCUUUUACUUCCGCUUUUCUUGUAGACGCCUUAUAUGUGUAGACAUAUGGCGGGUCUGGGCACGCUACUGGGAGGGCCUCCGCCGGUCCCGGGGCGUGACAAGUAGAUACAUAGGUGGUCUCUAUACGUGGAUACAAAAUCUCUCGCUUUCUCUCAACUACAAAAAGAAAGAGUAAACCACAUAGGCAAAGAACCGCUCCUCGCUAGCUAGCUAUGCGAUCCCCUUGCCGCGAUCCCGUGCCUCCGCCGGUGCAGAAGGCUCUGAAAGAAACCACGAAAAAGAGGGCGUGAGAACUCUUAAAAAUAGUUCCCAGUGGGCAAUUACUGACUUCAGUUAAUGCACCACAAGGCCAAAGCUACAAGGGAAGUGGUCAGCGACAAUAAAAACAGUAAAGCGAAAUGUAAGUAAAAGUGUAACUUACUAUAACAUGAAGUCUCUACUUAGCAUGAUUUGCAUAAGUAAUAAAGCAACUAUAUCAUGGAUGUACAUGGAUAGGUAUGACAUGCAUAAUCAUAGAAAUGCAACCAACUCGAUGUCCUCAAUGCAAAAAUAGUAAAGAUGUCAUUGUUUACUAUUCUAAUCCAAGUCCACGUUUCACUUUAAUAGUUUUAAAGUUCAUAUGGCAUACACUGUCACUAUGUUCCAAUCAUAUAAGACCCAUCCGAAGGUUGUUUGGCCUGCGCCGUGCCUAAUGGCCCCGUGGUAGUCAACAUCCCCACUCUAGGAAUGAGCCUCCCCCACGGCAAUCCACUUCGGCGCCCAAUCCCGCACGGGCGAGCAUAUGUCGCGAUGGCUAUCUCCGGAGUGCCGGCUUGUAGGGAGCGACCCUCACAAGCAUAUGCGAAUGAGCACAAAUGGCAAGCAAGCAAUGAUCCGUCUCAAGUCUCAUGUCUAAAACAUGGAAUAUAUCGAAUGUCCCCAUGGUCUAUCUCUAUGUCGUCAUGUCUCUAAUAUGGAAUAUAGCAGAUAUGUGUUGGCCUAUCAAUGUGUCACUAUGUUGUAAUUUCAUAGUUUACUAGUUUCAAGUGCCCCUUAAGGACACUUUGUUCUCUAUGUCAAGCAUGGUAACUAUGUUCCAAGGUUCAUGUUCCAAGUCGUAUUCUUCCUAAGAGAUAUGUUCUCAACUUGCACAAACAAACACUUUAUCAUAUGCAUGCUGCCUACACAUUUAGCUCUACUAUAUAGAGUACAAUUUUUAUGAUACAUAGCACAUGCAUUUUAAGUGUUCUAGAAUUCAUAUAAAUUCUACUUAGUAUAGAAAUGCAUUCAAAAGUACUUUACAACAAGUAUUAAGAGCAUAGGGGCCAUUUUGCCCAAUUUCCACGAAGCCAAACCCACCAAAAUCGUCUUCUUCGUUUCGCCGAACGAAGGUAUCCACAAGCUUCCUAAUACCCUAGAAACAUCAAAAGUAGGGUCACUCGAACGAAACGAAGAGCCAUUGGCUCAAUCAUUAAGCUUCUCAAGCUAGGGUUGGGAAAAACUCAUCUCAAGUGAAAAACCCUCUUAAUCUUCAAAUGGGAGGUAGAGGUUUUCCAAUCUAACCUAUAUAAAGGUUCCAAACCAUUCCAAUGAGAUCAAGAAGCCUCAAAUCAAGAAUCCCCAAAUCUAACCCUAAAAUCCAAAAUCUAGGGUUUAAACAAGCAAAAAGCCCCAAAACUAAGAUCUAGAGGAAGGAACCUUGCCACUUACCUCUAGGAUGCUCCAAUCCAAGCUCAAAAUCUUCUAGGGUUGAAGAUUGAUCCACCACAAAGCUCCAAAAGCAAGCUCCAAGCCUCCAAAGGUGGGAAAUGAGGAAGAAGAUGGUGCUCCAAGGCCUCCAAGCAAGCUCCUCUCCUCUCCUUCUCCUUCUCCUUCUUCUCCUUCCCUUUCUCUCUCUAGAAGUGUAAGGAGAGUGUGAGGGAGAAAAAAUGAGAGUGAGAGGGGGUAGAGAGGCUGCCAAAAGCCUCUAAGGUAACAAAAUCCACUUAGGCCUCUUAAAAAUCCACUCUGUGCACUGCCUGGUCUGGGCCGCUCACGCGCUGAGGGACCGGUCUCUCCCUGCCAAGGACCGGUCUCUCGGCCCGUCCCGCAAAACCAGCGUUCGGGAACCGGUCUCUCACAGCCAGGGACCGGUUGUCUCAAGCCCUGUCGCAGCACUGUGCUGAGGGGACCAGUCUCUCAUAUCAGGGACCGGUCCCCGAGAGUGAAAACUCUCAGGACUUGCCAAAACUCUAGAGAUCGAACUUUUAGGCCGGUAUACAUCGACGGCCCUCCACUAAGUGUGGAAAAGUUCGGAAUACAUAUCGAACACUCGAACCUCGCAAUUUGCAAAGGUCCAGUGUGCUACAGGUAGAUAUUCGUUGUUCAUCGUAUGAGCAUAGCUUAGGAAGGAUCAAUGAAAGAACGUUCGUGAAGUCAUCAGUGCAGCUUCGAACUCUGUCCCAGCGUGCUUCUUCCCCUUCUGCUGCUCCACCUCCUGCUGCUGCUACUUCUUCACGUCCUUCUAUGGACAUUUUCGAGGAAGAUGUCUCAGUUUCCUCUGUGUAUCGUGAGCAACAACGUUUGUCUGAAGAGCUUCAGAAACUAUCUGCGGAACAAGCUGCAAUACGGAAUGAUGUAAGCAAAAUGAAGCGGUUAAUGCAGGCGAUUUUUGACAAGUUAGGAUAUUACCGAGCAGAUUUACCUCCAGGGGAUGAUUCAGAUUAGAUGUUACGGGGUUCCUCCUUUGGUCAUUUUGGCGCUUUCUGACAAAAAGGGGUAGAUGACAUGUGAAUGAUAUGAUGGCUCAUGAUGAUGAUGAUGGCUGAUGAGAUGAUGAUGUCUAAUGAGAUCUGAUGAGGAUACUGUUUUUUUUUUUUUGAUUAGUUGUGUAAAUUUAGGCUAGAUGUUUGUUUAGGUGCUUAACUAUGAACUAUGACUUGUUGUUUUGAUUGCUUUGACGUUUGAUCUUUUAUGAUAAUUGCUUGAAUCUUGAUUGUGUUUUUUUUAAGAAUGUUUUUGCAGGAAUAUUCAAGACUUCAAGAUUCCGGGUCUAAGUCAUAGAGUCUGUAUUAAGGUUGAAAAAUGUAAUUUUUCUUUUAUUGGAUCGAUCGUGCAGGAGAUUGUCGUUUGGUGAUUGCGAUGAUCUUCUUUUUAUUGUUUCUGAGUUGUGUAUGAACUUUGUAGUAUAUUUUGUCACGAAAUCACCAAAGGGGGAGAUUGUUAAGGAUGUUAUAGGUUGGCGGAUUUCGUAAUGUUGAAUGGAGUCUUGAAGAGUUGAUCGCGGAAGUUUGAAGAAAAGAUCCAAAUUGAAGAACAAAGACUCAUUCGGAAAGCUCGGCAUCUAAGGUAUGAAGAAUGGAUGAUUUAUGGUGAAGUUAUUUAAUUAUAAUAAGUUCAGAAGGCUUAGAUUGCUUUAAAAAUUAUUUUACUGAACUUGUAUGUGUUCUGGGACCGGUCCCUGUGUUGAAGAGACCGGUUCCCCUAAGGUUCUCACUGCGUGAACAUUGAUGCAACCGGUCGCCUGAGAUGAGAGACCGGUUCCCGAACAUUGGAAAUUCUGUCGCGCAGCAAGGGAUCGGUCUCUGGCUUGAGAGACCGGUUCUCGAACGUUGUGUUUUUGAUCACGCAGCAAGGGACUGGUUCCUCACUUGAGAGACCGGUCUCUCACAGACCGGUCUCCUCGAGAGGACCGGUCCCUGAGGACGACACAUGUUUUUAAAAAGGACUUUUUGCAAUCCUAGUCUACUUUUAAGUCUUCUAAACAUAUAAAUAAGCCAUGGGGGUCAUCUUAAAGUUUAAGGCUUUGAAUUCUUACUAAUUCUAAACCCUAGAAACUUGUUUUUCCGUUCUGAUGAUUCUACUCACAUAACAAGUUUCGAAAAAUCAACAAUCGACUUGGUUCUUUGAUUUUACUUGAGAUCUUAUUCGAGAAUCAAGUUGAUGUUUGAUUAGAAGACGGACCCUCAUAGCUUAUGGGAUUCUAAAGCUUAAUCACCACAAAUCUUCGAUUCUACAAGCUUCGGAAGGAGAUUCGGCGUGUGGAUCUCGCGUGUAGCCGAGGAUUCGGUGGACGCUUUGAGGAGUUGAGGCAUUGACGCUGCGUAGAGUUUCGGCGAGGUCGAUUGGAGGAUUCCUAUCGAUCGAGGACCGGCGAAGAUCAUCAUCAACAAGAAAUCGGUAAAUUGAGUCGUGUGUUUUUGUCAAAAUCACUUGUACUCAAGCUUUCUUAGUGGAUUUUCUUUGCGUGAUCGGUCCCGUGGGUUUUUCACUCCGGCUUGGAGUUUUUCCACGUUAAAUUCUCGGUGUGCUGUUUUAUUUUUCGCUAUUUCAUUUUAUUUGCAUCGAGAUUUUUGAGUUUGCCGUUUUUACACCUAUUCACCCCCCUCUAGGUGUUACUUAUCUUUUAGAUCCUCGGGAUCCAUAUCUUAUACCGGUCACUCGGGGAGAGACCGGUUCCCGAACGCGUGCGCCCGAGGGGGGCUCUCGGGGACCGGUCCCAAGUUGUGGAGACCGGUCCCUCCGCGCGAAUUCUGCCCAGUAAGGGCUGUGCAAGGAUGGAAAAGUGGAGGGGUUUAAGUGCAAAAUGGCCAUCAUAUGAGGGGUGUAUAUAGGAAAUUACCCUCUCUUUCUCUCAUUCUCAUCCCCUCACUCCCUCUCAUCACUCUCCCUCUCUCUCGCUAGAAAGAGAAGAAGCACAAGAAGAACAAGAAGGAGAUGAAGGAAAAGGAGAAGAAGAAAAGGAAGAAGAAGAAAAGGAAGAAGAAGAAGAAGGAGAAGGAGAUCAAGGAGAAGGCUUUAAACAACUCCCUCUCCCUCUCCUCUUUCCAUUGGUGUAGCUCAAGAGGUAAGCUACAAACCCUAGCUUGUAGAACUUAGGGUUUUGGGUUUUGAGCUUUGGAAAUGGGGUCAAAUGGACCCCUAGCACCAUUGUUGGUGGAUCAAAGCUAAAGUUAGGGUUCCAAAUAACAAAUGGCAAGAUGGGAACCCUAGGGCACCCAAAAUGGGGUUUUUGGUGAAGUAUGAGAUUGAUCUUAUUUGAGACCUCGUAAACCUAAUUGGUAGGUCACAAAACGCUGGGGCGUAGUCGAUUUCGCGAUUCGACUAGUGAAUUGGGAGCUAUCAGCGAAAUACGGCCGAUUUAGCCUUGUCUUGGACCGAGAAGGACGAGAUCUUGUCGUAAGGUGCGCCGAGGAGCGUUUCUAAAGCCUCUACAUCGAUAAAAGGUGGGGGGUGCUAUCCCGAAGCUUUCAAACUCCUUUCUAUGUCUUAGAUUGCAUUUAAUCUCAUUUCUUACAUGUUGCAUUGUAGGAUUGCAUAGUAGCUCCAUUCCUUAUACUUUCUAAUUGAUAACCUAGUGCAUUUGGAAUGCUUGAUAACUUAGAUAGGUGAGGAUUGGGUCGGAAUGUGGAUCCUAUGAUGCGAAAGAAAAUAGAUGAACCCGAUGGAGGUUGGUGACAUAGAAAGUAGUGUUUAAUGUCAAAGAACAAACGAGUGGCAUCCAAAUGUUAAAGAAUAACGAGUGGCAUUAAUGUAGUGUAAAUGACACUAGAGGUUUGAGAACCUAUGGAUAGAUGGAUCCUUUAGAAAAUGCCUUGUGGAUAAAGAACUUAGUAAACCUAAGUACCCUCACAUGGAGAGGUUGUCGAUGAGUUAUUGAGACAUUGACUCUAGUUGUAGAGCAUCCUCACUUGGAGAGGAUUUGAUUGGGUUAUUGACUCUAGUUGUAGAGCAUCCUCACUUGGAGAGGAUUCGAUUGGGUUGUUGACCCAAGUUGUAGGGUAUCCUCACUUGGAGAGGACAGAUCUAGCUCACAGUCUGCUUUUGGGGUGGUAUAGCCAUCCAUAUACCCACAUGGAGGGGAUUGUCGUCGAGUACUCCGGAGUGUUGUGCGACUAGGACCACUUGGAGGUCCGGACCACAUGGAGGUCCGCAGACGGUCCCGGGCUUGGGUGCACUUGGAGCUCCCUCCCCACUUUGGAAUUGAAAGGUGAGUUAUUGGCGAACCCUAGGGCUUCGCUACAGAUUGGGUAAAAGAACAGUGAACAAUGUCAUUGAACAUUAUCAUUCGAACAUAGAUCGAAUUUGUUAGAAUGAUAGUAAACCUUUACUAUAUGAUGCAUGCAUUCAUUACACAUGAUUAUGGGCAUAGUAGCAUAGUUUUCCUACUAUCACAUUUAUGGCAUUUAGAUAUCUAUCUAUCUAUCUAUCUAUUGUUGCUUGUGCCCACUUGGACCUAGUGGGGAGAUCGGCAGAGUCGGCGGCCGAGCCCACUGGGAACUAUGGAAGAUAGUUCUCACCCCACUCUAUUUCCAGUGGUAGGUACAGGGUUGCCGAGAGAGGACCGCGGCAAGGGCAUUGCGGCCGACCAGUGAGACCAUGGUAGUAUAAUAGCUUCCCUUUUUGCAUUAGUACACCUAUGUAUUGAGAGAGAUUCAUUGUAGGUGAGGAUUUGGAGAGCUAUGUAUUUUGGAUGAAAGAUGUAAUCAUUUAAAGAAAAUGAUGUAAAUGAAAAGGAUGAACUAUUGUUAUAGUUAGCAAGGUACUCUCUUUACUUCAUAUGUUAUUCCUGUGGAUUACUUGCUCUCGUAGUUGUUGGCACAAUUUGUGCCCCGUUGAAUGUGUAUGUUUAGAAUUUAAAUUCUUGGGAAAUUCUUGUACACAUUCUUGUUGUGAGCCUUGGGCGGACAGGGGAGGUGCUGUCUGUUCGGCGGACCGCUCGCCGCGCCCGAAUCGUGCCAAAUUGGUAGUGAUCUCGGGGCGGGGCGUGACAUGAGUAGUCUAAUGUUGUUCCGGUUUUUGUUCUUGUGAACAUUGACAUCGAUUCGUUCCAAAUUUACACUCUCGGGGCAUAAUAGAACAAUAUAAUUAGGUUUUACGCUUUAUUAGAUAGAAUGAGAAAAAGUACCCGUUGCAAAGUUAUACUGUUAGGGUGCAACUGAGUAGUCUAAUGUUAUUCUGAUUUUUAUUCUUGUGAACGUUGACAUCGAUUCGUUCCAAAUUUACAAUCUCGGGGCAUAAUAGAACAAUAUAAUUAGGUUUUACUCUUUGUUCGAUAGAAUGCGAAAAAGUACUCGUUGUAAAGAUAUACUGUUAGGGCGCAACUGAGUAUUCUAAUGUUGAUCUGGUUUUGGUUCUUAUGAAUGUAGACAUCAAUUCAUUCCAAAUUUGCACUCUCGGGGCAUAAUAGAACAAUAUAAUUAGGUUUUACACUUUGUUCGAUAGAAUGAGAAAAAGUACUCGUUGUAAAGUUAUACUGUUAGGGCGCAACGAAGUAUUCUAAUGUUGUUCCGGUUUUGGUUCUUGUGAACGUUGACAUCGAUUCACUCAAAAUUUACACUCUCGGGGCAUAAUAGAACAAUAUAAUUAGGUUUUACUUUUUGUUCGAUCGAAUGAGAAAAAGCACUCGUUGUAAAGUUAUACNGUUUUUGUUCUUGUGAGCGUUGACAUCGAUUCGUUCCAAAUUUACACUCUCUAGGCAUAAUAGAACAAUAUAAUUAGGUUUUACGCUUUCUUCAAAAAAAUGAGAAAAAUUACUCGUUGCAAAGUUAUACAGUUAGGGCGCAACUGAGUAGUCUAAUGUUAUUCCGGUUUUUGUUCUUAUGAGCGUUGACAUCGAUUCGUUCCAAAUUUACAAUCUCUGGGCAUAAUAGAACAAUAUAAUUAGAUUUUACGCUUUCUUCGAUAAAAUGAGAAAAAGCACUCGUUGCAAAGUUAUUCUGUUAUGGCGCAACUGAGUUGUUUAAUGUUGUUCCGGUUUUUGUUCUUGUGAGCGUUGAUAUCGAUUCGUUCCAAAUUUACACUCUCUGGGCAUCAUAGAACAAUAUAAUUAGGUUUUACGAUUUUUUUUAUAAAAUGAGAAAAAUUACUCGUUGCAAAGUUAUACUGUUAUGGCGCAACUGAAGUGCCUAAUGUUGUUCCAGUUUUUGUUCUUGUGAGCGUUGACAUCGAUUCGUUCCAAAUUUACACUCUCUAGGCAUAAUAGAACAAUAUAAUUAGGCUUUACGCUUUCUUCGAUAAAAUGAGAAAAAGUACUCGUUGCAAAGUUAUACUGUUAGGGCGCAACAGAUUUGUCUAAUGUUGUUCCGGUUUUUGUUCUUAUGAGCGUUGACAUCGAUUCGUUCCAAAUUUACACUCUCUGGGCAUAAUAGAACAAUGUAAUUGGAUUUCACGCUUUUUUCGAUAAAAUGAGAAAAAGCACUUGUUGCAAAGUUAUUCUGUUAUGGCGCAACUGAGUUGUUUAAUGUUGUUCGGAUUUUUGUUCUUGUGAGCGUUGACAUCGAUUCGUUCUAAAUUUACACUCUCGGGGCAUAAUAGAACAAUAUAAUUAGGUUUUACGCUUUCUUCGAUAAAAUAAGAAAAAGCACUCGUUGCAAAGUUAUACUGUUUGGGCGCAACUGAGUAGUCUAAUGUUAUUCCGAUUUUUGUUCUU
rnacentral:lncRNA from 1 species